rnacentral:lncRNA from 1 species
UUAAUAAAAGGAAUUUGAUAGUUAUAUAUGAGUGAAAAAAAACUGCUCAGAAAUUAGCAGUAAAAAGAAAAAUUAAGUCUCAUUUCCUAUGUACAAAGGUUAAAUGGAAAUAAACGUAAGCGUAAGAAUCGCUUUACCCCAAGGUUGGUUGAUUAGUCAGCCGGGCUUGAAGCGGGUUAAAAAAAAUAUUAUCCGUAUGACGUUUUCACUAUCAGUUAUAUAAAUUACUAUACAUAUACAUAUAUUACAAAGUGAUCGGUAAUUAGGUAAAAACGCGAACUGAGUGGAUUAAACACAAAAUCUUAACUCGGAGCAUUUCGCAUGUGAGUGAAAGCUGAAACGACAUCGACUCGCCGUCAAAGGAUGGAGGAUGUGACUUUGGUUUUCUUGUCCGAAGAACAUUAGGGUUAGAGACAACUUGUUAUAUCGGGCCGGAUAAGGAACAAACUCAGCAGCUCGAAGCCCAGAUAAAGAACACACAAACGAAGCCCACUAACGAAUAGAGUUAAUGAAACGAAGCGUUUAGCAGGAGCGGACGCGUGGCGGCUGGAGGAUGCUCGACUUUCAUAUGUGGAGGGUGACGUGGACGAACGUGAGAGAAGAAAACAUGAUUAUAUAUAUAUACUAGGGUCGGUCCGCGCUACGCGCGGGAUUUGGAUUAUGUGUCAUUUUCAUUUGAACCAAAUCGUAAAAGUAUUGUUUGUUAGGUAUUCUUUAGUUUCACGCUGUAUUGACUAUUUUACAUUAGAUAUUUGGACGAAAUGGUGGACUUCACGUCGUUAGAUAUGUAAGUUUGAAUGUAUGUGAGCUGUAUUUUUAGAGCCGUUAGAGACAUUGGGCUAUUACGUUUGUUAAUGUGGCCUUAUAUGGGCUUGACGAAAGUAUGUAACGUUUAUAAAUAGUCGAAUAUGUUGUUGAAUCAAUUUAUUUUUGAUUUUGUUAUCUUCUACUCGGUUUAGUAAUAUCUUAUAAUACAAGCACUCGGUGAGUUUUAUAUAAUUUUAGUGCAGCGUACUCCUACCUAAUAGUAUAUUUAUACGGUUGUUUUUUAAGAAAUUUGCAUAUGUUUCUAUUUGUUUAAUUUUUUUUAUCCAUACCAUUUAAGAAUCCAAUAAGAAUAAAUGUUAACCUUUUGUAUUAAUUUGCAUUGCUUUUAAAAGACUUCUUAAUAAGUGGAGAAGGAAUUUCAUGUGUUUCAUGUGAAAUUGUAGAACUCAGAAAUUGAUUUGUUUUAUAUGAUAUUAGGGUUAAACCCGUCCUACUGACGGGUAAGCAAAUAAAAAAUAAUUAAAAAUAGAUUAUAUUUUAAUAUAUAUGUAAGAAUAUUUUGUUUGCUCUAAACUAAAAUAAUGUUAAUCUUUACUAUUUGUUUUUGUUUUUUUUUAUUAAAAAUAAAAGAAUUUAUAAAUUAUUUUAUACAUUUUACUUUUUUUCUUUUUAUACAUUUCUUAACCUACUGUUGUAGAUUAUAUGAAAAUUUUAAUUUUGUUUCUGAAAUUGAUUAUUUAAGAAUAUACAUAUUUUAUUAUAACUUUUUCAAUUAAACCAUAUCAUCCAAACUGAUUAAGAUUAUUAAACAAAUAUUAUUAUUAGUUUUAGAGUAUAAUUGUUUGUUGUUUUAUUUUUAUUUGAUUACCUUUUGAAUAUUAUUUUUGUACAUUGGUUUUAUUAUAUAUAUAUAUAUAUAAUUAGUUUAUUAUUUCCUUAAAAAAUUACCAUAAUUUUUAUUAGUAAUUAUUUUUAUGAAAUAAUGUUAUUUUAUUUUCAUAAUAUUAUUUUUUCAAUAGAUAUAUUGCAAGCUAUAUUUUUGGAUCAUGUAACACUGAUUCACUGAAUAGCUAUUUUGAACAUGAUUUUUUAAAAGUAUAUUAUUAUGAAAUUAAUUAUCUAUUAUAGUCUUUUACUCUAAUAUAAAGUUAUAAAGUGGAUUCAAAACAAUAAUUACUUUAAAAUCAUAAUAUGCAGACUUUGAUAAGCAUAUAAACCUUCGACCAACGGUAGUUGGAUAUGGGCAAGUCUUUAGGAUACAAUUCAUUGUAUUGUUGUAUCCAAACCCAUUGGAAGUAAUGUUGAAAAAUUCUUUUGAUUCAGUAUACGAACUCGGUGAUUCGUAAGUUGCUGUAAACUUAGUCUUUAGGAUACAAUUCAUUGUACUGAUGUACCAAGUGUUAUUAACUGAAACGAUUUCUUCCAAAGUAGUACUGUAACUGGUAAUUUUCUAAUGACUUGAGUAGAAGAAUAUUCAUAGAAGAAGAUUAAAGAAGAAUCAUAGUCUAGAAAGAAUACUAUAUACAAUAACACAUAGACCAAAUCCUUGUGUACACUCGUAUAUUUUUUCUACAUCUGGGCUUAUAUAUUAGUAAAUAUGAUUAGACCCUACUUGCUGUUAAGACUCUUUUUAUAUUUAGACCAAGGUAGUUUGUUGAUGUUUCCAGUUUGGGAGAAGGCUACACAUCAUUUCUAGCUUCUAGUUCAUCAAAGUACUGCAGAUCUCUAUUUUGUAUUCAUCCUCUUUUGUGUCCUCUCUAUCUCAGUAGCCGUACAACUGCAGCAGAUACACAUCUAUUUCUCUUUUCAAAAGAUCAUGUCUGUCAUGUUUAACGUCCUAAAGGAUGACGCAAUCGACAUAUACGUUCAUGAGACAGCCUCCAUACUUUGAACAUGAAUAAGAUUAGAUGACACAGGGAAAGAAAUAUCUACCUGAGACUUUUUCAUGUACUAUAGAUUAAGAACCGAGAUCUGAAUGUGUUCUGUUUUGACUGAUCCUAAAACCGCAAAUAUAAGACCUAUUAAUACAGUGCACCAAGAAGAAACUGUUGCAAAAGUAUUCUCAGAAAAAAUGGAAUUGCAAGUGCCUCACCUUAAAUGAAAGAGACAUGUCUAGCUUCUGCAUCAGUUUCCUUGUCGAAAAACACAUGUGUUCCUGAGGUGGCAUUCAAGAACAAACGUCCUGCAGAAAAAUAUUCCAUGUGUGUUUUAAGAAUAUUAGUCUCCUCACACGUAAGCACUAAGCUUUGAAAUUAGUAUAAGUGAAGGUAUCAGGUAUGCAUGUGUUUUUAAUUCUAGACAGAAAUAUACUUCCUACCAUCUUUGGGUAUAUGCUACUUGCAACAACAACCUUCAAGUUUCUUGUGAAAAGAGAUCGCUUGUGAGUCAAACAGACUGAUAGUGUCAAAGAUAUGUGUGUGAAAAGGAAGGCAUAUCAUAAAAAGGUCAAUAUAUAUGCAAAAGGAAAUUAGAUAAUUUAUGAAAGUCUUGAAUAGAUUCAAAUAUAGAAGAGAUACCUGUCGAUCUUCAUAGUCCACAUAACUCGCUCUAGGAAUGUCAGUCACCGUACUUCUCAUAGCAGUGAGCUCAGUAAUAACGUAAUGACGUCUGAGAGAUUAAUAACACCUUAAUUUAUUGUAUGUUUCAAUGAUAAGUCUGUCAUAAACAGUCUUUAAGAAGCUGUACCUAGAAGAUGUGUGUUGGUGUUGGCUAGGCCAAGAAGCGAAUCGUGAUCACCGAACCUGAAACCUUCUUCAGGAAUGUGAGAAUCUGGUUCGUUUUGCACAUCUAGAUUGGUUGAAUCACCGUACUGGACUGUCAGAAGCAAGUCUGAAAGCCUGAAGUUCUGGUUGCACAACCAGUGAACCAGCCUGGAGACGGUCUCUGUAAGUAGCUAGCCGGUGAACAUUCAUGAUGGCUGGCAUGACGGUUGACUGUAACAAAUGUGAAAGAGUUCUAAACAACAUUGAAAAAACAAAAAUAGGUUCAAUGAAGAUCUAAAUCUAUAUAAAAGUAUCAUCCUUAUGAAGAUGCUUGCUGGAAAAAUAAAAAAAUACUAUGAGCAUGAGAUAAUAAAAUAUUCAAAUCACCAAGAAUCAGCUUCCCAGAAUCGGAGCAACCGGACAUGGACGGUGGAAGAGCAGCCACCAGUCUUCAAAUCACCAAGAAGAACAGAUGAGUUAGCCAUGAUUGAGAAUUUUCUUUGUUUUCUGGAGAAUCACAAAUGUGAGGAUGAUGUUCAAGAGUAGAAAACUUACCCUUUUAUAGGUAAAGGAAACCGCCUUGGUGUUGGAUGAGUAUCAUUAAUGAGACGUUGUGCUUGAUUCGCGUCGGUGGAGUUAAGACAUCUCUUAUGAAUGAAGACAACUUUUAACGUCUGGAGGUUAAGUACCAAAUACGAAACGACGGAUGCUUGAUACCAAGGUUCUCGAGGACGAUUCGGCUGACUUGAUUUGGUCUCCAUUGUUGCUCGAGCUCAUUCAUCGCAGAGAUAGAAGACGACGACUAACCCUAAUUCAAAGUGAACAGACAAAAUUAGAUACCAUUCAUAAAGCAUAAGCCCAUACGAAAGACCAAAUUAAUUGUAUCCUCGUUUAAAUGAAACUGUGCGUUUUGAUGAAACUGACAGGUGUCGCGCUCACAGCCAUCAACUUAGUGACGUGGCUUCACCAGGAGAGAGCAAAACACUCUUUUAUAUAUAUAUAUACUAGGGGAAGCCCGCGCUUCACGCGGGAUAUGGUACUUUGGUUAUAUUAUUUGUGAUUUCUCAUGUUAGUGUUUUAGGUUAACUUUAAGUUUGUUUGGAGCAUGUUAGGCGGAUCAGUGUGAUUUAGUUAUGGAUUCUUGAAAAUUGUGUUUUUUUGUAGAUGGAAAUAUAUGUAAUUCUAAAAUAUUUGAUUGUUAGCCAUAAUGGAGUGACAAAUUUCUAAAAGUGUAUAUAGCUUAUAUUCUGGAAUUGGUAUUUUCCGAAGAUGCGUAACAUGUUUAAAUUUAUUUAUUAUGAUACUUGAAAUAGGAAUUUAAAAUCGACGGAGUAGAUAUUGUGCUCAAAUUAUGAAAACAAAUCUUGUCAUCUGCUUGUAAUAAUAGCAUGUGCCACACAAACUUUUAAAGUUGUAUCGGUGACUAUUAUUGUUGCUCUUGUGUUCUGUUUUGUCAGAUAACAAUCAAGUCUAAUAUAUUUUACUAAUGCGUUUCCAACAAUUUUCCGCUCGGAUUUUAUUUAUUUUCCAUCUUAGGUAAUCCAAUCCAACAUUUUUUAUCGCCCUCAAGUUCUCUCAUGCGUAACAUUAUUAUAUCUUCAAGUUAAUAGUAUUGUCUUUUUUCAAUAGAAUGUAAAAUUAAUUCAAACCCAAAUUUUUUUUUUCUGUACAAUAUUGAGCUAGAGUUUUGAAUUGAAAUGAGAAUACUGGCUAAAAUACUUCUUUUAGUGAUGUGUCAUGUGUUAUCGAUCUUGUACCAAACCAGAUGAUGAUGCCAAGAUCAUAGUUGUAGUCCGAUGUUUUCCUGAGUGCACUGAAUUUAUUCCUCACUUCCUUGUCAAUAAUCUUGAUCAGAGAUUCUUUUGGACUUGGGUUCUCACCAUGUUUCCUGCUGAUACUUUCUCUCCGUAUGUGGUAGAUUAAACUUUGAAAUGUGUAACAUAGGAGAAAAAAAAUAAUACAGCUUGCUUCUGAUUGAGAUGGUCGCUCAAGUAACAUGUCCCAAUCCUUUGUAAAGUCAAAACCUAGGAGCCUCUCCAUUAAGUUGCUCCAUAUUGCCCCUGGAUAAGCACACUGGAAAUAUAAAUGAUGAAUGGCCUCCUCUACACCGGAACAGAGACUGCAGUCUAAGGUCUGAGCCGUCCCCCAGUGCUUUGUCCUAUCACUCGUUGAAAGGCGAUUACGAAGUUAAUAGUACUGUCUUACAAACCUUCAGACGUUAUGCACAACUAUGGUAAUCCCGCAUGGGCGAAUCUACUUGAUCAACUAAGGGUGCAUGUGCACCCACAAUUUUUUAAAAAGAAAUUGCCUUACAAAGAAAAUUAUUUAAAGUCUAAGAGAAACUCAGUUAUAAAUUCAUGUAUGCACCCACUGAUAUCUUAACUUUACUCUUUUAAUUUCACGAAAUUAUGAUUUUGAUUUAUGUGAUUUAUACUUCACUAAAAUGUGUCCCCAAUUAUUAUAAGUUUUAGAUCCGCCCAUGUUAAGACCUGUCACCCGUCAGUGCUGUUUUUUUAAAAAUAAUAUCGCAGUCCACGUAAUAUGCCUGCUAAUUACUGCUAGUGCGAAAGAAAAAUAAUCUUAUAUUCCAUGUAAUGUGCCUGCUAAUUGUUGCUAGCUAAUUAUACAGAGCUUUUUUAUGAUAUAAAAAUUAUAAAUAUUUUUUCAUGUUCUUUUCAAUUCAUUCACAUAUAUAUAAAUUAUAAAACUAUAAAUAAAAUUAUAUAUUCAUUUUAUGAUAUAAAAAUUAUAAAUAUUUUUUCAUGUUCUUUUCAAUUCAUUCACAUAUAUGUAAAUUAUAAAACUAUAAAUAAAAUUAUAUAUUCAUUUUAAACCAACUUAUAUAGAUAUAUUAAAAUUAAUAUUUUAAUGACAUGACAUAUUGUAAAUUUAUAUUGAUUACAUAGUUUUUAUCUUUUUUUAAAAUAAAAUUAAAGCCUUGAAAAUAUUUAUAAUAUCAAUAAAUUAGUAUAAUUAAAUUAAUAUUUUAUUAUUUGUUAUUAAAAGUUAUAUUAUUAUUUUUAUCAUGCUUUAAAUGAUAGUUGGUUUGUUUUUAAAUGUAACAUUAAUUAUUAAAUUAUUUAUGAAUAUUUGGUGUUGUGGUAAUAUAUUUGGUUUAAGUAAUAAAACAUUGAAAGGUAUGAAAAUUUCAUAAAUUUUUUAAAAUUAUAUAGAAUUUUAGAAGAUUACACUUCAAAAUUGCUGCAUUUAAGUAGAUUGCAUGACAGAUUGAUAGAUGAUUUGUCUCUUUCUCUUUUACUAAAACUACAUCAGAAAAGAAUAAUUGUUAAAUAAAAUGAAUCAUAUUUUGAUCGGUAAAAAAACCACUAAAGUAUUUAUUUAAUGACACAGUUUUUAACAUUACACCAUUUUACUAUUUAUUUUAUAUUUUAUAUAAAUUGAUGUGUAGUUUGUUGGAGAAUAUUGAUGCUUAAAGGCAUCACUACAAUAUUGAUGCUUUAUAGAGUUAGAAGUGAAGUUCUUUCACGUGGUUGUUUUUUUUAUAGAGUUAGGUCUUUCAUGUGGUUCUUUUUUUCGUAUUCACCAUUUCCAAUACAGUUAAAUAGCUUUACAUAUUCAACAUAUGCAAUUAAGAUAAUUUGGAACAUUUCAAGAUUGUAUAGAAUAUGAUUUCAAAAGCUAACAUGAUCAAGAAAACAUGAAUUAUAUGACUUUGAUUUCGUUAUCACCCAUCUGCAAAUUAGGGUGUAGGCAUAGCUCUCCAAGAAUAUUCAAUCUUUCAAUAUCAACUCUUUUUCUGCACCCGUAACCGGAGGAUCCGUGAGUAGGUUUGAAGCUGGAAACUGACGGAAUUCCACAUGAAAUUAUUAGACACCCAAGUAUGUUUUGUUACCAUUUUCUGCAUUCUCCAUUAGACACCUUAGUAUUUUUGUAUUACCCUUGUAUGCAUUCUGUUGGGAACCUUUUCUGUAUUUUGUUAGAAGCUAUGAAACAAAAAGCAACAGGUGGUGUACUAUAAGAAGCUUACUCCAUCUAUUAGUGUUUUCUCUUGUUUUUGUUUUCUGGCCUCUCGGUGUUUCCAAACUUUCUCUCCACAAUCUCAUUUAGAAUUUUGUGUGUGAACUCAUAUCCUAAACCUCAAUGGAUCUUUUGACAAAAGAAAAAAACCUCAAUGAAUCAACCAUAGAUUAGGGGAUUAAGUAACGUGAAUGGAUAAUGUAUAUGAAAAGAGAUAUUGCACAUAUAGUGACUAAAUCAUAAAAAAACGAACAAAACAAUUUUGGUUAUCCAGUUGCAGAAAGAUUCAACUAUAUACAGCUGAACUAUCUGGCUUGAAACCGAGUUACAGAGAUAUGCAGCUACACAAGUAUCUUCAAGUUCACAUGCACUUCUCUGCAGCAAAAAAAUCAUAGUUGCCUAAACAGUAAUAUUGAGAUCUAUGGAAUUGAUUAACAUAAAAGACGCAAAAGUAGCAAAUUCAAACAGGCUCACCGGAAGUCUCAGAGUCUGAAGGUGGAACGAAACUGAUUUCUCUGUAGAUGUCGACAUGAGGAAGAAGGAACGAAGUUCCGUUGCUUGGGAAGUCAACAAUUUUGAUCUGAAUUUAAAACCAAAUCAAUAGCUAUUAGAGAAGCAAGUGGAGAGUUCUACAAAUGUAAAUCACAUAACACUAUCUCGUCAAGAAACAUGAUAGGGCUUACCUUUUAAUAGCUGGAGAUUAUGAGAAAAGAAGUGAAGGGGAAGACAAUGCUUCGAUUCAGACUAACUCGUAACGUCUCAAGUUAUUUUUUCAGAGAGAAGAUCGAGGCUACGCCGUCUUGAUCCACUUGGCUGAGUUGAUGACGUAAGCAUUCCCCCUGUAAUAAACCGUCAAGCCAUUGUUGAAGGUUGUUUGUGUAAGGAAGUCGUAGGGUUGAAUCUGGUGAGAUUCUGAGUAUUUUGCAUCUCUAUUUAUAGUUGAAGAAAUUAGGGAUGUACGAUGGAGGUGAAGGAAGGGACGAUUAAAAUCAAACAUAGUGGGAGAGAUUGAAUGAGAGAGUUAAUGGUUUCAUUAAAGACGAUGCUUCGAUUGAACCUGAUUUCGUAACGUUGCCAGAUUUUUGUGGACUCUGAGAUGAAGAACUUUGAUGGAAAAAACGCCGAUGAAACAUCGGAGUUUCCAAGAUAACUCUAACUACAGAUGGGCCAAUUUUAAAUUUCAGUAAAAGCCCAAAUAAGUUAAACUCGUCACAAACAAAAUUACGGUAUCACUUAAACAAACAUAAGGUCCAUCGUUAAUGAAACGCAGCAGAUCGGACAGAUGGGACACAUGUCACUCUGAGAAUCAUUGAAUUGAUGACGUGGCAGAAGGAGGAAGGAGAGAAUCUCUUCUUUAUAUAAUAAGAUAUAUAGAUAGAUAGAUAUAUAGAUUACUUUGUUUGUUUGAUGCCUAUACUUAAAUAUAGGGGUGAAUUGUUGUAUAUUAAGUUCUGAAAUUCGUUGAUUGCUGUGGGAUUUAUGUUUCUUUGUUAUGAUUAUGAUGCAUGUGCUCUGUUGGUAUGGACGUGUGUGUUGUAGCAUUCUUCCUUGCGCAAGGAAUUAUUACAUGUUACAGUUGAAGUCUAAUUAUUACAGUCCAAGUCUCAGUUUGUAUGACCAAAUUUUGUUUGCUUUCCAAGUAAAUAUUGCUAGCCAAGUAAAGAUCGCUAUAUAUAAUAUAAAGGUACUGGAAACAUUAAGAGUUUAGGGAUAAUUAUAAAAGAAAUUUAGAAAUUGGGUUGAAUGGUCAGGUUAUCAUCUCCAAGAACAUUUGCAUUUGCUUGUAGUUAUAACAGUCAGUGCACCUAUCAGAAGCAAUGAACAUGGCAGUAUCAGAAGCAUCAUUAGCUGACAUCUCAACCCGGUACAUAGUGGUGAAAAUCAGAGACCAUUUGUUAUCUGUAAAGGCCAUGAGAGGUGCAUUAGGACCAGUUAGAACGGGAUAAUGGAAAAUACCAUAGCCUGGCUUGUUAGAACGGGAUAAUGGAAAAUACCGUAGCCUGGCUUACCUUACAACCUAACCAUGUUUUCAUCAUGGCAGGCUGCACACGUGAAGGAUGAGAACCCCCGCUGAAGUUCUCGGGAGCACUUGGAGCAUGAUACAUAUCACCACCCAUAUGAUGUUUCAAUGUUGACAACUUCCCCAGUACAGAGGAUCCCAUGCAGUCUAUGAUUGAUUUAGUUUCUUAGAGGCAGAUUUAAAACAAUAUGAGUGUGUUGUUAAGAUGAAGUCUAACCUGGGAUGGUGAAUUAAGGACCUAAGCAUUUUGCUCAGAUAGUGUCACUAACUUAAUCUUCUUCACACUGUCAUAUUUGGAAGCAGUUGAGGGAGAACUCCCAGUACUCCUCAAAACCUUGUACAAAACACAAUGUAACAGUACUGAAAGUUUUAGCUUAUCUUACAAAACCUUUUAUUUUUUUUGAAAUUAUCUUGCCAAAAGAAAAAACAGCACUGAAAGUUUUAGCUUGAAUACAUGAAUAAUAGACAGCUGAUGCAAAGAACCUUACCCUUUGAGGUAGCUGUCGCCAGCAGUUCUCUUGUUGUCGAAGUAAAAAUAGGUUUCUGAGGUAACAUUAAGAAAAUGACCACACCAUUGCCAAAUUUUCUUUGCAUUAAGCUGCAUAGCAAAGCCGUCAAAGACACUCGUAAAGAAUGUAGUAUCCCUGCGUUUGGGGAGAGAGGAAUGCAAACUCAUAUCAACUGACACCAACAUUAUGUUUUUUCAAAGAUUUUACCAACAAUAGAAGGAUAAGUGGGCUGUGGGUAUGACCUGUGAAUGCCUGAAUUUACCAUAAUACGUCGAAUGCUUUGUGUUUCUUCAUGGUAAGCAGUAGUGAUACCCAUAUAACUUUAACAACAACACCCAUAAAACUUUAAGAGCUGAGGAAGUAAGAAAAAGAUACUGAAAUCCUUGAGUUGAGUUUGAUAAAUGAAACAUACCUUGCAACUUGGUAUGUGUGUUCAGUGCCGGCCCUUGCAUGAAGCCAACAAAGCACCAGCUUGCGGCCAUGUAUUUUAUUAACUUAAUUCGGCCUCAUUUCGUACGUGUUUUCUUUAGUGUAGUGGUUAACUCUUGGUCACAUUUUCAUCAGAAUAAGGGUUCGACACCCAGUGGUCACAAUUCUACUUUCUGUUAUUUCUUUAUGUUUUUUUUUCUUUAAAGAAGUGGCCACAUUUUUAUUUUUGCAUCCAGCCUUUCAAACUCUAGGACCGGCUCUGUGUGUGUUAGACAACAUCAUCAGCUGAUGGCAAUUACAAAAGUGGAACUGUUCCAUCGUGAUUUACUUACUGUCCUCUGCAAUGUCUUCUGCAAGCUCAUUCAAAUAGAUACAUGGGCAUCAACGAAUCUAGAGCUUUGGCUGCUCCUAGUAGAAACAAAGACACACGCACACCGUCGCAGGCAUCAUUGUCACCUGACAAAUAUCAAACAAAAAAAGUUAUUAAAUUUAGUAUAAAUUAAAAACAUAUUAAUCCUGUGAAUAAUUAAUUUAUUUUAAAUACUAUUGGUUAAAUAAAUAAUUUAUAAAAACAGAGAUAUAUUUCAAUCAUUUUUUCAAUAUAUGUGAAAAUUUUCAAAGUGACAUUUUUCAUAAAACGAAUAAAAUAAUAAGUAGACAGAUUCACUCAAAUAUGUCACAAGUUUAAUCCUUUCAUGAAUGUUGUUUUCAUUUGUAAUACAGUUUUCGAGAUACCUUAUUUUAUAGAUUCAGUAUGACCAGCAUAAAAAAGAGAAUAUCCCUUCCUUGAAAUUUACCUAACGAAUUCAUACAUUAAUUAUAAAUAAAAAAAUGUAAGUUACUAGUAAUCAUCAAAAUCCAAACUUGAAAUGUCAAUCGAGAAAUCUUCAAUAGAAGACCAGUCAGUUUAUUCUGGGAUGCAAAAACAAUUGGAAAUUACCUUUUUUUCCUUAGAACUAUCAUAGAAUUAAAAAAAUUCACCCAAAUUUUUGACCUGAAUUUAUAUGUACAUCAAAUAAUGCUAUAGACAUAUUUCCCCACCAAAACAUAGUUUGAAAGCUAUUUAUCUAGAAAUUUUAAUAUUAUCGGUUUAUUGUAACCAAUUAAAUCACUAUUAAACAUGCUUUAAAUUGAAUUUAAACCUAAUUUUAAUCAGACCCAACCUAAAAAAAAUGCCAAAGAAUAAGUAGUUGUGUAUCAUAAUACCUGGCCUGCCUUUGCCUUCGUCUUCUUCACCCAGCCCCAUCUUCUUCACGGACCAUUAAAUUGCUCUAUAUCGCAACUGUUGAAUCUAAAUUCAACAUACUUACUCGAGCGUGAAUUUGAUCAUGGUGUGACUGGUAACCAUCAUAGGAACAAUAGCAACGGAUAGGAAAGGAAUGAGUAGGAACAAAAUUUUAGGAAUGAUGAGGAAUGAUAGUUCCUUAUCAAAACUAAUGAGGAAUUAAUUUGUUCUAUAAUUCUCUACAAAUAAAGGAAUGAAGAGGAAUGAAAAGGAAAAUCUAUUCCUCAUGAAUGGUAAAAAAUUUAAGGAAUAUUAAGGAACAUAGUGUUCCUCCUCAUUCCUUUGGCCACCAGUCAUAAUGAUUUUGUGUAUUGAAGUCCGAGCGCUGUGAAUACAUAAAUAUUUAUGCUAAGGUACAUUCCUGUUUAUUCACUAUUUUUCCUUCGGUUGAAUUUUUUUUAUUAUUACUUAUUUAUUUUACAUAUUCUUGCGAAUGACUUCCAUAAACAACGAAUUUGCAGCUUUGAUGGUGUAACGUCUGCAGAUGCAUUAAGUGAAGAUGAGGUUGUGAUAGGGAGACUCACGAUCCAGAAGUUGAGAGCUGAGCUGGAGGUCGCUCGGGUUAGAGAUCUAGAGAGAGCUGUUGAGCUUGAGGCGACAAACAAGAAGUUGAGGAUGACAAGUCUCAAAAUGUCUUAAUCUAUGCAGGAGGUCACUUCUCUGACAGCGAAGAACAAGGCACUGAUUUCUGAUCGCAAUUUGGAGAUUCUUUGGGCUUCUUGAGCUGCAGGUCGGGCCCUUGCGAAAGAGUACAAUAGUCUUCUAGGGUCUUUGAAAGACAAGUGGGAGAGGAAGAAGCUGGAAGAAACGGUGGAAAUCCAUUUACAAGAGGUAACCGCGUAUAUCUUUUUGACGGAAAUCACAGAAGGAGGUCUUCAGGAAGCCGACGAGCUUCAACGUCUCAAAGAGAAUGAUAUUGAGUUUGAUACCGACUUUGCGCUGGCUACGCUGUCAGAUCAGGUCCUUGACGAGCUCAUCUUCUGCAGGUUUUUAAAGAAUCAAUGACACAGGGUGAUCUCCCAUCUUCUAGGGUGGCCAAUGAUGAAUGUAAGGGUAAAUUUAUGCAGGUGCAUUUGUGGUACUACAGAAAUGUAUAAAUAAGUAGAAAAAAUAGGAAAAUAGAUCAAGAGUAUUGUAUUAUUGAUCUUUAGAGAAGGAACUAAAAGUGUUGGUGUAUAAACCCUAGUUUUAGCCGUCUAACUCUAAUAUUUGUGUAUAAAUCCAGUUUUGUCAUUUUCUUUAAAAUACAGUUAAUAAAAUUAACAUUUUACUUUAAUGAAAUAAUUAAGAAGUUAAAAAAGAAGAAGUAGAACCCUAUCGUCGUCUUUGACUUUCUUUCUCAAUCAAAGAGGCGAUUUCGUUUUCGCCGCCAACACCCUCUUUCUCUGACCUGUCUAAGUUUGUCAGAGAGCUUUAACUGGUCGUAACAUCUCUCCGUUGUCCUCCUUCUUUCGCCUUUCCUCUUUUAGAACCACCAAUUACAAUCACUUUGUAAUCUCCGCCGAUUACAAUCGGAGUUGUUCAAGCUCGGAAGUAGCUUCUUCUCGCUGAUAAAGGACGAUUAGCUUCACAUUGGUCUUCUUUUGCUCUUUCUUCUUCUAUUUUCAUAACCUUUCUCCAGAAUGCCUCUCAGAACAUUUACUGCAUACUUACGUGCCUCACAUGCUAAAGAGUAGGAUAUCUCAACUCCAUGAUCAUUACACAUAAAUUGGAUGAUAUCAUUAGGUUUCGGCCCUUCCUUGACACUUUCACACUUAUGCAUAAUGAGAGUACCAACUGUUUUUGAUGAAUUUUUCCGAACAUAAUUGUUUCUUGUUGAUGAAGCACAUGAAUGAUCAGGUAGAUACUUUUUGAUGAUAAAAUAUGAAGAACAUGUUAAUCCCUCUGCACAAACACACCAUCUGCAAUCAUCAUCUGCACAACGAAUGUACCAAACUUUUUUAUCUGAUUUGUCAAGCUUGUACACGAAGUUAUUUUUCAUUGCACAUAUUUUCAUUGUUGUCUUCAAAUCUCUUUUGCUAAUAAAAUGUUGACCCUUCUUCACAACAUCAACUAGAGAAAAGCGGACACACUUUCCGUCGAUCAUAUCUUUGUUACCCUUGUUAUCAUCAUCACUUUCAUCCAGCUUAACAUCUUCUUCUACAAGCUCGGUUUGACCAUCAAUAUCAUCUGAAACUUCAUAUGACAUAGGUUCUUCCUCUCUGUUAGGCGACUCAGUAGCUUCUUCAUUCAAGUUAAAAUUGACCUUGAUAUUGCUUGUCUCGACCUUAGAUCGAAUACACACACAUAACCACGUCGAAGCUUUGAUCUUCACAUAUGUAAAAAAAAUUGAGUUGUCGAUCAUUGGUGAUGAAAACAUGUGGUGUGAUGCCAAUGAUCAAAUCAGAGGGUAAGUAACUCAGCUCGAUAUUGACCAUGUUUACAUCGAUUCCAAAGUCCUCACAAACCAUAGCUCUUAGGUUGUCAAAGGUUUUACUUGUGUCAAAGUAAGUAAUCUACCUCUUUUUCCUUCAUCAGCAAGAAAUUUCCAUCCACUUCUUUUGGACGAUUUCCAAAAACCAGAAGAAGCAUAGAUGUCCAUAUACAGAUUGACAAAAGUUUGGAGGAACUAUGAAAACAAAAGAAGCCCCACGAGUUAUUUCCAAAUCGUUGUGGCAACGAAGAAGACCCAAAUUUAGGGAACAAUAUUUAAAAAAGAAAAUAAAAAAAUGUAAUAGAUUUAGGAAAAUUUUGUAACUGUUUUCUCUUAGAUUUUCGUAUUUUGUUUACAAAUCUUGUAGAACUUACAUUCUACCAAAUUAGAAAGAGAUGAAGUGAUAGAUAGAGGAUACCAAGAUUAUAGAUAAAAGAAAAGUGAGAAGAAAUUAUAUUCUGCCAAAGAAGAUAUGAGAAAUUUAUUAUGUCCUAUGAUAUACCAAAAAUACAAAACAUAGAAUGAAACGUAGAUUUGUUAUUCUGCCUUAGUAGAUCGAAAUGUUUUCAUUGUAUUGCGGAUUCUACCUUGGUUAAAUCAUUGUGUCUUCAGUAGACUGCAUAAUUUAAUUCGGCGUAGAUAGUAGAUCUGAUAUACUAACACCUUUACUCCAUUUUUGAACUUACUAUUCCAAAUAUUUUUUGAAUCCAAAAAUAUUUUUCAUAUAUGCACAUGCUUGACUAUUUCAUGUUUUAUACUUUUUUUUUAUUUUUUUGCAUUGUAAAUAAAUGGAUAUAAUUUUUGUUUACAAAAAAGAUAGUAAAAAUCCAAAAGUGAUAAAAUUUGAUUUUGUACUAAAGAGACAAUAAAAGUUCAAAUUUCUCAAAAAUAAACAAAAUGCACGCCUACCGCUACACCAGCUUAAAUUUUGCAAAUAAGUUUUACAAACAUUGUAUAUAUAGAUCGAAAUAUAGAUAAAACCUUUAAAAGAAAAAUCUCUAAAUACUCUCCAAUUAAUUUCUGACUUUUUGUUAAUUCGAUAUACCCAACUCAACCCUCCAAUUCACACCUAUCAUAAUUUCAAACAUAGACUACAGCUACUUGUGUACUUUUACUCAACAUCAACUUCAUAUUACCAAGAAGGGAUACAAGAUUUUCCACCACAAGAGUAUUUGAACCAAACUUACAACAUAGAGAUUUAGUAACACCUAAGAUCCCUACUUGAACCAAACGCUACCUAAUCUAUGUCUAUGUUGUAACUUUCAUCCCAUUGAACACAAACUCCUCCUACAAUCAGAAAGAUUUGAUUCUUAAACCACUUAAAUUAGACCUCUAGCGCAGAAUCACUUACUAACGGUACUGACAAAACCUAUUCUGGAAGUCAUUAAAGCUCUAAGCUUUUGGGACCUAAUGAUAGGAGUGAUGUUCUUGGCCCAAGAGCAACAACACCAAAGGUGCAGACCCAAAACAGCUUCGUCACCACCAGCUUUCAGCUCUCUGUUCUUCAGCCUCAAACCUGACAACGAUGUCCGACUGAAAAAGUGGGUUUCAGAAUCAAGCACGGGCCUGUACUGCAAUAAAUAGAGGUGUGGAGCUCUAACCGGCGGCAGAGAACAUAAAGCACUUUCCGGUGCUGGGAUGUAGACCUCCACCAUGAACCGCCGCAGGUUGACUUCUCCGGUUGACCACUCCAUCGUCGUCUCCUUUGGUACGUGUUGUUUCUGAGAACCAGAAGACAAACCUCUAUACACAAGUUAUCGGUCCUCUCCUCUGAUUGCCUCACCGCCUCGUUGGAGCAAAGAUCUAGGGUGGAGGAGUCGUCUUGCCAGACAACGCGCCGAUACUGAGCUUGGUUCGCCAGAGAUCUAAAAAGAGAAAACUAGAUCUGGCUCAGCAGAACCCUAAAAGCCGACUUCUUCCUCUUCCACCGUUCCACUAGCCUCGCCACUCCUCCAAGGCAAGCUUGAGCUAGACCAUCACCCACACGAUGCGAGUUUCCAGCUUAACUCGACCAAACCAGAGUCAUCCGCAUAUCGGCCGGGAAGAAAGCAUCGAGGGAGAAGCAAAAAAAAAUAUUAAGGAAAGCAAGGGAAGAGGAGGGCCUCCGGCACUAGAGCUAGGGUUUCUUCUUCGAAAUUUAGAGAGAUGCGAGAGAUUUUUGUUAGAGAGAGAGGGAGGGAGAAUACAAGAGAAACUCUUGUACUUUUAUUGUUUAUUGUUUUAGGUUGGUAGUAAAUUUGUUACUUUUUAUAUAUUUUAAGCUAAUUAACUCUGGAUUUUUAUGAAUAACUUUUGAUAAUAGAAAACAAGGAAAAAAGAAAGAAAGAGGGACACGUAAAGCCCCCUGGGCCCACAAAUAUAAGAAUAUCCUAGAAGACUUGGUUACAGGAAAACCGAAAUAUAUAAUAUUUAUUAGUAUUAAAUAGAGCGUGGGUUAUCUUGUUGAAUCGGAGAAUCGAUAGAUAGGGUUACGUGAGUUACUUGUAUCGAGAUCAAAGCACAGGUUUAUAUUCUCUCUAUUGAUCCGUUGAUUUUGGUUGUUUAAUUGAAAUCAAAGGUAGCUAGGGUUCUUGAGAUUUUGUAUUUUUGCAGAAUUUGGAUUUGUGCAUAUGGCUAGUCUUAAUGGAAAGAUGAAAUUCAAGUAUGAAGAUGAUGAUGAUGGAUAUGGAGAUCCUUCGUGUGUCGAGUCAAAAAUAGAGCCUAAUUAUCCCAUCAUGGACGACUCAGAAGAAGAUUACGUGGAUGAAGGAUUCGAUUCAGCUGAACCAAAUCAAGGAAACGUAGAUGUUAACUUGAAGAACGUGUUGAGUGGGUUGAUAGCAAUCGUCACCGGGAGCAACAAACAACCACCUUCUUCCUCUUCUUCCAACCAGAACGUCUCCUUCCUUGGCUCCUCCGUUUACAUACCAAGUGCCCCGCCUCUUCUUGAACCCAACUACAGUGUUUACAAGGACUUGCUCGAAGCUGAACCUCCUCACUGGCUCCCCGACAGUUCCACCACUACCUGCAUGCACUGCUCCUCUCCCUUCACCGCCAUCACUUGCGGCAGGCAUCACUGUCGCUUCUGCGGAGGGAUAUUCUGUAGGAACUGCUCCAGAGGAAGGUGCUUGAUGCCCACCAGGUUCCGUCAAAGGAACCCCCAGAGAGUCUGUGAUUCCUGCUACGAGAGGCUUGAUCCUUUGCAAGGUGUCCUCAUUAACUCUAUUAGUAAUGCUGUUCAGGUUGCAAAGCAUGAUGUUGUUGAUUGGACCUGUGCAAGAGGCUGGUUGAAUCUCCCCAUUGGUCUUUCCAUGGAAGAUGAGAUCUACAAGGCUUCUAAUACCUUGAGAGGCUACUCCCAGGUUGCUAGAUCUGACCCUGAGAAAUCCAUCCCUCUUGCCCUUCUUCGUCGAGCUCACGGUUUGGCCAUCCUCACUGUCGCUAAAGCUGGGGCCUUUCUCUCCUACAAUCUCGGCACUGGUCUGGUUAUCUCUCGGAGAUCAGACGGGUCAUGGUCUGCUCCAUCUGCCCUACUCUCGCUAGGUCUAGGAUGGGGUGCUCUGGUUGGGGGUGAGUUGAUGGACUUCAUUAUAGUGCUGCAUGACUUGAAAGCUGUCAAGACCUUCUGCAGCAGAAUGCACUUCUCUCUAGGCGCAGGGUGCAGUGCAGCUGCAGGACCUCUAGGGAGAGUCUUGGAGGCUGACCUCCGCGCUGGUGAUAGAGGCUCUGGCCUCUGCUAUACUUACAGCCGUUGCAAAGGUUUAUUCUUUUAUAUUGUUUUAGAUAAUAUUACAGGAUUAUUUGAAUUAUUUUUGUCUAACAGGGGCUUUUGUGGGAGUAUCCCUUGAAGGCAAUGUGGUGACGACGAGAAGGGACACAAAUGUUAACUUCUAUGGCGAUCCAUACCUAAGCACAUCUGACAUUCUACUUGGGAUGGUGGAUCAACCCAAAGCGGCUCAACCAUUGUACACUGCGCUCAAUGACCUCUACGCAGGUCUACGUCAGUAAUCUCCAUUCGCAUUAUAAACAACUCGUGUGAUGAUAUAUCUUUUAAUUGUACAUGUACGUAGAUAGCAAUUGUUUCUUUCUACAACUUAUGAAACUUUUAGCAAUUGGUUAAUUUAAUUAUGGAUUCUUUACCGUCUUUCAUUCAACAAAUUUAUAUAUAUAUAUAUAUAUAUAUAUAUGAUAAUAAUUAGAAUGAAACAUGCAUUGCAAAAAAAGAUCGUAAGAGGAGGAGGAAUCAAUCAUUUUAAAAAGAAAAGGUACAAUGAAAGAAGAAACGUGAAGCUAAGGGACAAGUAAGCCAUUAGAGGUCUUCUGCGACUUGUUCCUGUAAUUACAGACGCUACAGUUUGGGCACACAUUCGAAUCCAUCCGCUUUCGCGUAAUCCUGUCAUGAUAAACAGUCAGUACACACACAGGCCAUUGAGUGGCUUGCUUGUUUGCUUUACCUUGAAGGCGCCAAGGCCUGGCCUUCUGUCACAUCUGAACUGAGCCCAUUCUCCACAGUUCACCCAGUCACCUGCCGUGCUACUGCUUCAACCACAUUCUUAAUGUACCUGCGACAUAGUAAGGAACAUUCACUAUCUACAUACAUCAUCAUGAGCAUACUCAUACUCCACUAUAUGUCUCUUAGUGUCUUUUCAGCGUAUUGCCCACUCCCUGCCAUAUAUAAAACCUCUUUUAAAACAAAGACUUUCAACUAGAAAUCAAAUCAUACUUUACAGUCAUUCUGUUUUUGAGUGUGGUUCCGCCAUCUUUUGAGAAAACUUGUCCUUUCCAGUUGAUCCCAUUCCCUACGUGGACUCCACGUGUUACAACCUGAAAAUACUCUCAUUAGCUCACCAUAAUGCUGUCUGGGUUGAUCAAAAUCAAACCACCUCUCGGUACAAGUUAAACAGAUCAAGCCGUUUAGAGUUGAACUUUGGUUGUGCACCAAAAAACUUUGGUUGUGCACUGGGAAACGGAUUAUGCUACUAGUAAAUGAAAAGUUUUAGGUUACUCCUAGAAUGCGGUAAAUCUUCAGGAUAUAGGGACAUAUGGACCAGAUUAUUUCAAUAUAUCUAAGUUGUGCCUAUAAAAUGAUUACAAAAGUGGUUAGGGUUACAAAUACAAUGCAAAUUCUAAUGAAAAUGAAGAGGGUUUGGGAAAAGACUCCGAAGAUCUAAGAUCAGACUUCAAUGAUGAUAUGAGGUCUUCACUCUCUAAGUUUCUCUUUGGAGGUCAGGUAUGCGGAUCCCCUUCUUCUGAGGUGCUUCUCCUUCAGGCGUUUGAUCAACAAUGUCAUGUCACAUGUGUAAUUUGUACAGUUGUUAGGCAUGCCUUUUUCAAGCUAGGCCUAGCAGCUUUGUGGGAUUCUGUAUUUUUUAGUGGACCUGUUUUGAAUGGAAUCCACCUCCAACAAACGAAAAGCAAAAAUCAUGCCAAAGUUGCGGUUUAGACUAGCCGGUGAAACUAAAGUUUGCAUGUGAGCAACCUAGAAGAGUUAACUUUUACUUAUAUUGAAAGAUUUUGGUGACCGACCACACUAUAUUAGAAGAGUUAACCUAAUGGUUACUGUAUAUUAGCCUCUUUAAAAACUAAGACAGCAAGAGCGUUAAAUGAGUCUGAAGUAGUGUGGACCACACCAAAACAAAUCAAACCUGUAAUCGCUAGACCAACUCAUGAGGCUAUUAUUUCCUUUAUUUUAUCAUGAUUGUAAUGUGGUAAAAUGAAAAAAAAAGUACUGUACUUCUUGUUCUAGAAAUCGGUUGAGGCGGCGGCGUCUAAACGGCCAAUUGAACAUUUAAAAAGGAAAAUAAUUUUUAUAGAAUGAUUUUUAAGAAAAUUGGUCCAAACAUUCAAAAACCUGAUAUAAAUGCCCGAUAAAUCGUCUAAUAUCUUUUAACGAUUUUUUGAACAUUGGUUUCAGUCACAGGGACAAUUUAAUAUUGAAUCUUCGAAGAACCAUGAUUCAUAAAAUUAGGACUCUUAAUGUAACAUGGAUUAAAGUCUUGGAAAACAAAAGGCAUAUAUCGAUCGUAUGCAUAUAUAUCAUACUUUUUACAAUAAGGAACUAAAUAAGGCCUUGCUUGUUUCUUUUUUUUUUUGUCACAGGGCCUUGCUUGUUUCAAAUGCAACUUUUGCGCUUCUCUGCCCUGACGAUAGAAAUGCCUUUUUACUUUUGUGGAAUAUGAAUUUUAAAAACGUAACAAAAGAAUGCUGUUUGCGCUUAACAAUACUUAGAGCAUCCACAUCAAUGAACCCCCUCUUGGGGUUCAUCUUUUCAGUUUUUUAUUAUUAAAUUUUUUUUCUUUUUCUUUCUGGUUUUUUCUAAAAAAAAAAAAAAAAAAAAACUAGACCAAUCACGGACCGCUACGACACAUGGGGUCCGCGCUACAGUGAUGAAUUUUAGGAGAAAGGGAUUCAGCCAAAAGAGCUUUAGGAGAGAGGGGUUCAUAGGAUUGAAUUAUUUUAUUAUUUUUUUUUUUUAAUUUUUGUGUGAACUCCCCCAUAAACCCUCAAUGGGGGUGCUCUUAUGAUUUCAUUUUUCAAAACUUUUCUUUUGUUUUGACUUAGACCAUUAACAAACUUCACAUUUUAGUCCUAUCUACAGAUAAGGUCCAGGUAGUAAUCUAAUAACACAUUAAUCAAGUUAUCAAAAAGUGCAUAAAUUGAAAUCGAGAAGGAUAGUAAAUGUUGAUAGCAACGAAAUCCACAAUGUGUAAGAAGCGAAAGAAAAAGUCUUACGGAUACGCAAGUGGACGGAGUCUAACAGCAACAGAAAAUUAAGAGUCAACCCAAUAUAUCAUAAAAGUUUUUAAGUUUGCGUGCAUAAGAAUCUCAAAAACAGCUGAUACGGUCUAAGUACAAUCGACAUGUCAGGAACAAGCAUCAUCUGUAAUCAAGAGAAGAACCACUCCAAUGUAGAAAAGAGAAGAAAAAAAAAACAAUAACCCAAACUCUGGAAAGCAAGUAUGCUUUGUCACAAUUUCACAGGCUUCGAUCAUUUACUGUUGCAAAAGAGGCUUCAAUUGUGCUGUGAAAAGGUUGGCUAAUGCACCUCGUAUGUCCAUCUGCAAACAGAAAAUUAAAAAAAAAAACUUUACUGAUUAUAACAACCUUUUGUCUAGAUGAGACUAGAACAUGUUUAAUCAAAGUGGAACUUGCCUGUUCACAGCAAACAAGCCUCGUGAGCAGAGGGUAGAACUCUCUCAUGUGUUUCCUGAAUAUUUUGUUGUUCAUGAAGCACAUUCCUUCCAGAACCUGGAACAAGAUGGCAUCAGCAAAUUAUUUUUUUCUAUCGUAGUUUAUUUUAUUAUAUAAAAUCUCAGCGAUGUAUUAUUAUUAUAUUACCUUGACAAUCACGGGAGAACGUAGCUCAAGUACCCGGUGAACAUCCAUGUUCGUAGACUCCCCCAAAGAGGACUGGAGAUCAGAUGUUUCUUUCAGCACCUGUUCACAGAACGACACCAGCUUUCCUUCAGCUGCACCUUCGAGUUUAUCUUCCGUGUCGGAUGCAGCAUCCCCAAGCCCAGUUGUAGUCUUAUGUAAGACAUCCAUAUAUAUGUUGGUUCCUUCCAGCUCUUGUCGGAGAAGGUUUAGAGGUGGCCUAUAGUAUUAAACGAAUUGUUGGAAGAUGCGAUUAUAACUAUAACUCAGUCCAAAGGUUUUGUUUUUGUUCCUAACCUUUCCGCGGAAAUGUGAAUCAUUCGUGUUCUAAGGUUAGAAUAUGAAUUGUAGGAAGCAGCGAAUUCUAUGAAAGAGAAUAAGAUGUCCAUGAUCGCAAUCUUCUGUGCUGUUUUCAAAUUACUCCAGUAUUUUUUCUGCAGAAUUAACAUCAAACACAGAAAUAUGCAAUAAUAAGAAUGUGUGCCCUAAGACCAUACAGCAUAUAGCUAAGUAGAGAAGACAUUUUAACACCUGGAUACUGUUGAUAGCACCAAGUAGUAGUAAUUGUGUGAUGCAUUUGCCUCUAAUAGUUCCAAGAGCUGGGCUCUCUUCUUCUCUGUUGUCUGGCUCUGCAGGAUCCACCUGCUGCAGGAGGAAGUAGUAAUUUUUGAUGAAUAUUCCUCUGUUUAUCACAUUACUCGGAGAAACAAGAGAACUGUGCAUGACAAGCCAGCCAAGGUGUGUGCUCGUAUAAUUACCUUAUGUGGAGAAGAGGGUACAGACACCUCUGCAGCAGAGCUCUUUGGUUGAGAUGUGAGAUUCCUGAGAAAGAGAUUGUCCAUAAAUCUUUGGCCAAAAGUCUGACUCCGCUGGAUAAUCGGAUCAUCCCCUUCCUUUUGUGACCUUCCAGAUGACGAUGGACGACCUUCAGGAGGGAACAUCAAAGUCAAAAACAUGGCGUUGCAUAAAUCUAAUCGUCUUUCAACCAUGCUAAAAAGUUUAAGAGGAAACCUUCAGAACCAUCAUCCUUGGGCUGUAUCCCAGAUUCUUGAGAAGCUCCAUGAAUGCCAACCCUUGGAGAUGCCUGGGCGGAGCCUUUCCCAUUCUCAUCCGGAUUAUGAUCAACUCGGGGAGAAUCAGUGGCAUCAGCCUCUAUAUCUCCAGUCACAACCAGGUUCUUAUUCGGAUUGUCAAAACCCAAAUCAUUUAAUAGCUCCAGCGGUUGAGUUGUGUAUGAUGCAUCUCUAGAAACCGAAAGAAAAAGUUAGAUAGCAACAUUUGGAGAUGAAAAUUGUUGUGAUGAAAGAUGGUGACCUUAUGCUUUUCAAGAGCAUAUCCCAGUCGCCCUCACUAAAUUGGUGACCUCCAACCUCUAUAAGGUGAACCAGUGCUCCUAAUGAAAUUGAAACAACUGUCUGAUCUGAUUUCUUCGCACAGUCUAGGAGCAAGCUUAAAAGUGGAGGCAGCAUAAAACAAACUUCCUGCUCCAAAGGUGAAAAUCCAAUGGUCAAAUUUGCAGCACGCAAUAAUAUGUUCUAACUUUGCAUGUUAAGAAAAAAAAACAUUUUCUGUACGGUUUCCUGCGAUAAACAUGACAUAUACUGCAACAGGUGUGAAAGUUAAUUGAUAAAUAAUGGAUUGGAUGCGCACAGAGAGAACAAAUUAAAGUACCUUGUAGAAUGUAUUAAAGAGAUUACAGAGAAGCUGAAGGGAAUGAAUGCUUGUUUCACGAAAUUGAACAUCCCCCGACGAUACUAAGCCGUCCUUUCCAGCAUGACUCACAUGAUCAAAAAUUGGAAACAAGAUGCGAUGGAAGAUGCUCUCCCAGAAAGGCGUGGAGAACUUUUUGCCUCUUUCAUUCAGCAAAUCAAACAACACCUCCAGAGCGCAGUUUCUAACUUCAGGUCUAAAAUCUGACGUGAGAUCAGAUAAACCAGCAAGCAUCGGAUACCAGUAAUGCUCUGUCACAUCAAAAGUUUCAUCCUCAUUGGUAUUGACAGGCUUGAGAACACCACCCGGUAUAAGUCCCUGAGCAUCAUCAUACGCUAGACAAAUGAGCAAAUGUAGUUCCAGAGGGAGAACUUACAAGAAAGUGAGGGAAUCUGAAGACUGAGAAAUAUGAGGGAAUUUGAAGACAGAGCAAAAAGUAGAUACGAACGGAAAGGAGUGUGGGAUAUAAUGACGAAAGUUAUAAUGGAAGAGUUACAUGCUGAAAUGUUAAAGCUACAUUUAGCUUGAAAUCAUACCUCUGCAAGCCGAUCCUCGCAUAUUCUGAGAAGGGCAAUAGCUUUCAGGCUUAUCCUGUCUGAAGCUUUGUUAUUGGCAAACCGGAUGAGACAGUUGACGCAAUCCAUGAAGCAGUCACCGAUCACCUGGUCAAAGUGUUCCAGAAUAACUGCAAACAAAACUAGUGGUUAAAAAACUUUUAUCCAAACAAUGAAGUGAGAAAAUACACUCAAACUAUGAUAUAAGUUCAAGAGUUUUUGUGGACAGUUUGUUACCUUGCUCCACAUUCUCAAAUGAUUUUUCAACUAUGGAUUCAACAUCGUCAUCUGCAGCUGCUGUAAAUAUCAUAAAAACACUCCUCCAACCCGAUUUUAUACUUCCAACUUUAGAUUUGAUCAUCUACAAGAAAGAAGAAUGAUUAGGUGAUGAAAAAAGGGCUGCAUACAACUGAGUAACAAAAACAAAGGAAAAAUAUUAAUAUUCAAAUUAGCAAAGACCAGCAUGCAACCUGAACGAUGCAGUCAACAAUUAGGCUUCUUAUGGUCUGACUUUGAGUAUUCCGCAUGAUAAUAACGAACGGUUUGAGAAUAUCAUUUUGAAAGGUAAAAUUGGUGAGCUCAGCACGCUCCAAAUACUUCAUCCCGAGCUGUCUAAGAGAAUCUAUGGCAUACAUUGCAAUCUUUUCAUCAUGAUGGCUACCAGCAGAUACGAAAUGUUCUGCAAGGACAGACCAUAUUCUUGCCCAGACCUGGUAUGUCACAAAAGCAAACACAAAUUAAGUCAUAUUAGCCUAAGAUACAUAAUCUAUCACACUACAACAUUACUUAGACAAGAGAGUCAGGAAACAGUUUUAUAACAGACACCAAAAAUUAGAGAUAACCCAAAGUUAUAACAGAACAGAGAGCAACAUUAACAUAUUUUCCACGACUUUUUGAUUAUGUUAUGGUGAAGGCUGCUCAUGCUUAGCGUAUCCAUACUUUCAAGUUGCAUGAGCUGCAAAGAUUGGGUAUGUGUUGUCACCUAUCAUAUGUAACCAUGCACCAAGUAGAUUAGAAGACUAUCAGAAGAGUACCAUUCGAAUACGAGCUAUAUUGUAGUAACUGAUCUCAACGAGUUUCUGCAAGCUGAAAACCCGGGCAGGAGACUGUUUCAGUUCUUCCGCUGAAACACCACAUAAAGCAGUAAAGAAUUCCACAACAGAUUCGCUGGGCAGCUUCACACUGUUUACAAAAACUUGUUCAGCCGGUCUUCCCGCUAAUUCCUUCAAUGAUUGAACAACCCCAUCCCUGGAUAUCUGGUUUGAUCCGUGCAUUACUGUUGCAGUAAUCCCAGGAGUAGAAACAAUGAAUUCAAGCCGAGAAACACAUUCUAGAACUGCAUUCCAGGUAUCUUGAAGGGUAUCAGGUUCUGAGUCACACAGAGCCAGUAAUAUCCUCAAUGCUUCAACAUUUUUGCUCCUCAUUUCUUUCGGAGCAUGCAAGAACGUGAACCUAUGGACAGUUUGACGAAAAAUAAUCAAUAUGCCACAGAUUUCUGUAGUUUACAUAAAUAAAUAGCCAAUACACAGCGAAACCUAAAUAAAUGCUCCACACUGAAACAUAAAAGGCAGUAUGAAAUAAGUGUUGCAGGUUUACCUGACAAGCGAUGUUAGAAAGGCAUAGCGCAUUGUAUCCAUUCCAAGAACAAAAGCAAUAUGUAUGCCAGCUUUAAAUCCUUCCAUGCAGAGAAGAAUUCUUGGUUUGUUAUCACCUACUUCCAUUGUAACGGAGAAAGCAGCAAGCAGAGGCCAGCCAACAGCUUCAACCAUGGGCCUUAUUAUGUCCACUUGCUCUACAGUGUGGAAGACUCCUCUUUUCACUCCAUCCUUUCGGAAAAUUUCCUGUGUUUUCCUAACAAUAUCCUCAGUCUCAGACUUAGCAUCGGCUGCUGAUAUUCGUUUUGGCAAACCCAGAUUAAGAAUACUGACAAGACCACCUUCUCCUCCUGGCCUUUGACUGUUGAUUUUCCUUAUGCUGCUGUCAUCAUCUUUGAGUUUUAUCUCUUCUUUUACAAUAGAAUCAUAUAUCUCUUCGAGAAGUUCAGUUGGAGCACAAUCUUCGGGAUCAGUUGUAGCAUUCAUACGUAUAAAAUCAGAUUUUGACAUUUUAGGCCAAACCAUUGGAUUAUGCGCAUCUGUAUUUAACAUGAUAACUGCAUAGGCUAGAACAUAGGCAGUAUCUGCAUUCUUGAAAAGACCCGGAUUGUCUGCGCAAUAUCUAAUCGAAGGAAACAGUGGAAAAGAAAAUGUUAGCUAUCAAUGGGGAAAAAAAAGAUAAUAUAGACAAAUGUAUAUUUUCAGUUCAAGUAAUAAAUAACAAGCUUAAUAUUUGUAUUCCAUUCAAAAGAUGAUCUAAGGAGAACAUAUCAUACCUCUCUGCAAACUUUUCCAUAAUGCGAUCAAUUUUUUGAGCCUCUCCAGGAAGUCUGAAACCUUUGAGAAAUUCACGAAUAGCUGUAUGAAACUUCAUUUCUGAAAAUUUCAUUGAAUCAACAUAGGCAUGCAUAACAGCAAGAGGAAACUCCUCGUGUUGGCCCAGGUAAUCGCCAAUCAUGACCUACACAUAAGAAUGGUUAUCCCACCUAUAAAUACUGAACAUAAAUUCUGCACAAUACGACUGUUACACCUUCUUUAAAGUCGAAGUACUUCUUAGAAACUGAGCAACUGAAGCAGGAUUCCUUUCGACCAACUUGUUUGCUAUUAGGUAUUCUAUACCCUUCACUGAAUUCCUGUUGAACUGCAAAAAUAAUUACCAAUGCGUUAGUAAUGUGACUAUAGUGACAACCAUCAGGAUGUUAAACAAUAAUAACCUCGGAGAUAGCCGCCUCCAUUGUGGAUUUAUGAGCUUUAGCCUUCUCAAAGUUGCUUGGCACAUCUUCCCUGCUUUUGGUUUCAAUUGGCUCCCUAGCAGAAUCAGAGUCCUCGUUUACAUGUCUUGUACUAUUUUCUGCCUCUUUCCUUAUUUUCUCCCAAUCAACAAGUGAUUUAAGAACGUUCACCAGGCACUGGAAAAUUUUAAGAAAACGGUUCCCCUAAUUGAUUAUUGAAUACUUCACAAGGAACCAGAUCAAAUAAAUAAAUUAAUAGCAAUUUAAGUAAUUUAUUUAUGGGUGCAGGUAAAGCAAACGUGACAUGACGCCUACCUGAAGGGAUGAACCUUUAACUGAAGCUGUCUGCGAAGCCAUGGCAGGAUUGGGAUCAGCACUUUGAGUACCUUGAGCAAUUUUGGAGAGUGUUGUUACCUAGAAGAAAAGAAAAAGAUGCAAUAUGAGCCCUAACUAUCAGUCACAUUGCUGACGUACAGUAGUUAUAUAAACAAGAAGAAAAUGGAACACACCAUGCGUUCAAACAAGUUCGGGGCCUCUAGAUCACAAUCAUAGUUUACAUAGACAUCAACAAGCAUCUGAGGAUCUUUACAGACUUUUUCAAGCAUCCUGCAAAAAAAACAAAAAUUCACAAAAAAAUUCACAGAAAAAGAGAUAGUACACUCGUUUAAGAGAUAAUACAGAGCAGAAUAACACUUUACCUAAGAACACCCAUCUUUUGGUCAUUGGGACACUCUGAGUUAUCUAAUGAUCGUAAGACGAUGAUGGGGAAAAAGAUACCAAUUUCACCCUAAAAAUAAGAUUUAGGAUCAGAAAAUAUGGUAAAAGGUAACAAUCAUCGCAAAGAAGAAAUUCAAAACAGGAGACAUCACAUGCUUACUUUUAAACUAUCUCUGAACCGAAGUAAAAGCACGGAGAAUAUACCAGAUGCAUACUGUCAGAAGAUAAAUCCUAGUUAGAUACAACAUUCUAAAGUGAAUCCUCAAACAUCUACAUGAAUUGGAAAAUCAAACCUGAAAUAUGACAGAAGACUGGGAAACUGAAGCUCGUAACAAUGCAUAUGAGAGGUACGCUUUCACCGAAUCAAUAAAGUGAAAGUUCUUCGUAAACGAAUGACUAACUCCUUCUAGCAUACCCUGCGUAUUGCAAACGUAUGUGUUGCAGAAAAGUUGGUCAAACUUAACAAACAAAAGGAACAUUCAGUGCAAUGCAACAUUAAUAACAAUGUCAUCAAUCCUUCUAUGUUUUCAGAAACUCAGCAUAAGAAAAGAGGUAAAUAUAGGCCUUGCACAACAUUAAAGUUAUGAAGAUGGACAGCAACUGUUUUGAGUGUAAAUACAACCUAUAACACAAGGCAUGCCUCAGAUAUUUAGGCAGAAAGCAACAGAGAGUUCAUAGAAAGGACAAUCAUGUCUUACAGCUCUAUUUGACUACAAAAUAAUAAAGUUUAUAUGAUGCUCUAGUGUCAUGUAAUGCCUUUAGUUAUAAAGUUACAAGAUAAUGUAACUAAGUUUACCUGAAGAAGUUCAAGAGACAAUAUACGGGUCUUGGUUGUGACUUCGUCACUAUCUUCUUUCAUGCCCAUCUGAUACAAAAUUUGGAAAAUAUGUCACAGAAGCACCACAAAUAGAUAGUCAAGGAUAGAGAGAUGGAACCUCAAAAAUCCAACCUUGCAAAGGGUACGGAAAACUAGCAAUGCAUCACGCUGUCCAAUACUCAUGCUCUCUAGCUCGAUGCCCCUACGGAAUUAACAUGAAUUGAAUAAGAAGGCAUGGGUUUUACAAAGAGCAAACAAGUCGAACCCAUUAUUUCCUAAUCGUUACAGGUGAGUAUGGGCAUAAUGUAUGUUCGGUCACAAGCAAGAUUAUAGGUGUAAGACAUGCAUGUGCGUAACUUGUUUAGGAAAAACUUAAAUUCAAAUAUUGUGCAGAGUGGCAUGAACAAUACCGUUUUAUCUUCUUGCCAUCUUCAAGAUGCACAGCUUUGUCAAGGGCGGCUUCUAAACCCUGAUCAAAGAAUUAAGAACUUCAUCUCCGCAAAAACCAACAACAAUAUACAAGAGUUUUCUAUCUACUCAGGAAGACUGAAGAAACAAUCCUCGAGAAUUUCUUCCAGACUCACAAAAUUAUAAUUUCUUACAAAAUUCAGCCAGGAGAUUCUAUAUAGACCAUAUGAGAUGCAUACGUCAUAAAACUAUAUAAUGAGCGAGCGUGCGAAGACAAGUGACUACCAAAUAUCUCUACUUAUCCAACGAAACAACUCGGUAUAUAAAAAACGCUACAAAACAUAUGCAUUUCUCUUUUACUAGGAUUUUUUUAAAAAAAAAAAACUUUUUCAAGAUUCCUUUUUUGGAAGAAACAUCUGUAUUUCCGUCACGGCAACUGAGAAAAGUUCGAGAUAUAAGUUCAAGACCAACCUUAAUAUCAGCACCGCCCACAAGGGUAUGCAACUCUUCAACAGAAGCCAGAGUUGUGUCUUUUGCUUGAGUGAGUGCAUCGCCUAAUGUCAUUUCUUUCUCACUUUGGUCAGCUGCAAUAAUUUCUUCAGUUUUAAGGCUUGAACUGUCGCCUGAAACAUGUUCUUCCUGAGAAACUGAAGAUGAUGAGGAAACCUAAAAUUGUACAUUCAAUUAUCAGCGCAUCCAUACAACAGUUACUAUGUUUUCACUCAAUCAAUAAAACAAACGCAACACUGAGAAAUUCAAAUUCCUUACAAUGUCAGUCUCCAUUCUCCGGAAUACAAUGCUUAUCAUCUGAGUCAACAUUGCUUUAGAUGUUGCUUGGUUUAUUGGGCUCUUGCUACAUGUAAAUACUGCAUUUAGUGAUUGCAACCGGAGUGAUGAAAAAACUCAGAUAAAAGGAGAGAAAGUAUACCUGUUUAGAGCAAUAUUAUAGCAAACUCGAAUAACUCCCAGCAAUGGUUCCCCGUGUACUGCGAUCAAAACAUAUUAUAGUCAUCUAAUUUGAUAUUGCAAGAACAAUAAAUAAGGAAACCGGAUCAUAUAUCUAAGAGUUACAAACAUAGCUUUUUCUACAUCAGAGGCUCACCUUUGAACUUUCCUGAAGCAACAGCUGUAAGAAGAACCUUCAGCACUUGAAGUACAGUGCUGCAUAAAUUUUUCAGCUUUAAGAACUGGUGUGGCCAAUCUCAAGAAGCUUUGGAAACAGAGAGGCACAUACCUAUCUGGCGAUGAAUUAUCAAUACAGCUGCAAACCAUGUUUAGAAUUUCGGUGAAAGGUGCAGAAUUCUUCCCGCCAUCCAAACCCGGAUCACCCUCCAAAUGAUCGUAGGCAAUGAGUUUCUGCUUGCAACAAAUAAAGAGAAAAGAACAUUUACAUAACAUCAAUAGAAGGACUGGAGAUACACUACAGAACUACAGGAAUCUUAGAAAAGCAAUUUUUAAUGGAGCAAACAACCAGGGAUGCUCAAAGAAAAAAGAAAACAAAGACAUACAUGAAGACAGUCCAAAGCAGCAUCAAAAAUCUUCAAGUUCUUUGUCUCAAAUGCAAGGCGUAGAGGCUUCAGAACAAGCUCCACUUCAGCUCCCCCUAAUGUGUGUCCAGCAUUUGCUAAGGAAAUGUUGAUAGUCCCGCUUUUUGACUGGCUGGCCUGCUCGGCCACUUCACCACUCGGGACUUUUUGCGGUUCAUCUGCUUCUCCUCCAGUUUUUGCACCUUCACCUUCAGCUUGUGAUCUGAAGAUGAAAAUAAAAUAUAAUGGUAGUAACUUAGAAAUAGACCACUCCUGAAAGAUGGGUAAAGGGCAACAAACUAGAAGAAAAUGGAACGCUGGUCUGGUCAUUACCUCUCAUCUAUGCUCGAGGAUGCAGCCUGUGUAACAACCUUGGAACCAUCUGUAAAAUCACAAAUGGGAGCUAAACAAGUUAGCAAAAGAAACUUGUUUAAGAGGAACUAUACAGAUCAAUUGACACCUCAGCUGGUAGUAAUAGACCACACUUCUCCUGACUAGAACGUUCUUGUAAACUUAACAAAUAACACGUUGCCCAAUUCGCAUCUUUGUCCACCGUUCACAGAUACAAACUAUAAGCGAGAAGUUGAUCUAAGGCCUAACAUCUAGCAGAUAAUCAAUUUUCUUUUUAUAAAAAAAAAAAGGAGAUCUGACCUUGAUAGGCUUGAAUGGCUUUCUGGAGAUCAGGAAACUUCUUGCCCCCAGAUUCCUUGAGCAUCGUCUCGAACGCUCGGCUCACAAAUCCACCCGCCGCCAUAUCAAAAUUUCGUGAACAAUCAAACACUCGAUCGAACGAAAUAGAGAUAGAUCGUUGCAGUUACGAGGGAAUCGAGAGAGAAAAUGCCUGCGCUCUCUGGUUUUUGCUUUAUUCCAUUGACCGAAGAGGCUUUGAUCGAAGAGAGAUCUGAAGCAGCGAAACGAGCCACUAGCUAUAGAUCUAUUUUCUCUUUUUCCUCUUUAAAUAACCAUUUCCUAUGUCACCCAUUUGAACCGGGAUUUUUAAGCUUUAUUUAUUCCGGUUUCUUUGUCUUUUGUUUAAUAACUUAGGCUGUAAUUGUUUACUAAUUUUUUAGUUCGAAGAAUUGAUAAAACCAACUCAAAUAUUAAGUCAAACCUAAAAGUGUAUUCCAAAUUUUUUUUUUCGGAUACAAUUUUAAAUUUAUUGAUCAUCGUAAAAUAAUGUAUGUAGAAGACCUAAAGUUUUUUAGGUUUAAAGAAUAGAAACAAAGCUUAAAAAAUUAAAGAGUAUUUGCUUCAAACCAUCUUCUCAUCAGACCUUGUAGUCUUGGUUUCAAAACAUAUCCAGUGGAAGUGAUACGUAUUGGACCCAAUUACAGUCAAUACAUUAAUGGGCUGCAAUCAAAGGUAUGGACUGUAAGGAACUGAAACCCAUAGCAAGUAACCGAGCUCAAAAGCGAAGCCAUCGAAGUCUCGGAGAUCGCGGAACAAGAAACGGAGAUCGCAGAGCAGUUACAAAAGUCACGAGGUCGACUCACUAUAAGGAAUGAAGAACGAACAUGAAGAAGGACACGUUGAAAAUCCUAAAGAGAGCUACACACUUACAUCGACCUUGUUUUCAUCCCAAUCUUAGACUCUUUCUUUACGGAUCUCAUUUGUAUCACUCGAUCUAAUUCAACUCAUUGUAUUCGAUCUUAUUCAAAACAUAUAUAGAUGGUUCAACCAGUGAUUUCGGUUUGAAGUGAUGAAGUUACAAGAAAUAUCGUUUAAAUUAUCAAUGUACCAUUUCAGUUAUAUAAUACACCGGCUAAACAAAAGCGGAAAACAUUAUAAUAUAGGUUAGUCGUAUGUUUAGUCUAUAAUGGAUCCUUAAUUGUAUGUUGUAUCCUAGAGAAAUUAAAUUGGACUAACAUAUUUUGAAAUCAAUUCUAAUGAUGUGACCUCAGCAAAAUUGAAAUGUAAUAAAGUGACACAUGAGCAAAGUUCAGUUGUAAAUAUUACAUAAUAUAAAUUUACUAUUUUUUUAAAUCUUAUACAAUAAAGUAGACUAAUCUCUCUCCUCCUUGAGCCACAUCAUCAGGUAAGAGUGGGCAAACUGCGACACGUCAGCAAGCUCAACCUCGACCGUUCAAUGUAUUUGCAAGCAGUGGUUCUUUAUGGAUAGUGUCGUUUGACUGAGGAAUCUUUUUGAAACCAACUCUGUCUCUUCGCUUACCCUAGCAACCACAAACUUAGGAAACUGGCCACUCAUCAAUCCUUCUUUGUAACUUAGUUUUACAUUUACGAUCCAAGACCCACCUCCCAUUACGUGACAAUAAUUUUCCAACUCUUGCUCUUUCGACUUUCACUAAUUUGAUUCUAUAAAUAGUCAUGUCUAUACCAAGAAUUUCAUCACUCACACAACCUCCUUACAAAAGCCAGUAAAAGACAGUCCAAGAGAGAUGGAUACAGUGGGAAAAGAAUUGCUGGUGUAGGAGAUAAGAAGAAAAGUUUUGCCCACAGCUCCAUCGCCAACACUAACGCACUUUAUAAUAAUUCGUAGCUGUUGUUGUUGUUGAUACUGGUGCUGCAGACACAGAAGCUGAAACUGAUUUGAGAUAUGAGAAUAAGACUCUCUGAUUUAGCUUCUCUUUCUCUUUUUGUGCCCUUGGUUAAGUGUAGAACGAAACUGAGACUUGUGAGGAAAAGCUGAAUGAUUUUGAAAAAACGUGGAAGAAAGGAGUCAACUUCAGUUUGAGAUGUCACGUACACAAAAGUAUUUUGAAUCCAUAGACUUGCUUUUUAUUUUAUCUUCUGUUGACAAUUCUUAUGUCCCAUUUUGUUCAAUAUGACAUACAAAACUCAAAGGUCCAACCUUUUUCAGCAAAAGAUACAAAGUAUUAUAGAAUAAAUGUAGUUUAUGUGUUGGUGCGAGGUCACUAAAACGAUACAGUUAGUAUGUUAAAUCAUUAUUAAGGUUGUAUAAGCGUAUUCUUUUAAGAAACACUUUGGAAUAAACGAAUUAAUUGGUACGAGACUGUUGACUAUUUAAAGUUAUCAACAAAAAGAUCCGAUGAUGUAAUAUGAUAUUCAUAUUUGAUUUCUUUUCUUUUUUCUUAUAACAGAGGAUAGCCAGCCAUACAAUUUUGGUGUAAGAAAAUAGAUCAAUUAAAAAGUGGAGAAAACAAUUUGUUGGCGCGUAAGAUUUUCACUUUUUAAUUUUAUCACUUGCUUUUAUGUUAAUAUAUAUAAAUGAAAUAGCGUUAUUUAACGAAUUAAGUUUGUUCUUUCAAUAUAUAUUUUUUAAAAAUGGUUAUGUUUAUACAAUGGAUAGACCACCAAGCAUCAUCAUUAACAAGAAAAAAAGGCAAGUCAAUCAUUAUUAUCGUGUUUAUGCAAAAAGAACAUAAUUAAAAAUUAUGAUUUCUUUCUUUCUAACAUUCAUAAUGUAUCUUUAUGCAAAACUAGAGUUCAAUCACCCUAAAAACGUGUAAGCAAAUAAACGAAAUAAUAUUAACAUGUUUAAAGAUUUAGUUCAUUUUUAAAUCAAAAUAACAUUAACAUUCAUUUUUUUUUUCUAUUACAACUUUCAUUAUUUGUUCCACUAUAUAAUCAAUAGUACAUACUACUGAGAUGAGACAUGCAAGGAGUUUCCAAACCCCAACCGCUGGAGCUCUGUUGAAAGUAACCGACAUUGAAACUAAAGCUGCCACUGAAACCACAUUCUACAUAAACCUAAUUCAUAUUAUUCUCAAAAGAUCCACCUUAAACAAGAAGUAUGUACUACAAUGUAAUGAAAAAUGGUCAACGGUGGCAAGUGGUUGACAAUGCAAAGGAACAAUACAUAGAAAGGAUUAUGCAAUUUUCCAUUACAAAAACCCUUAUGGCCUUUACAACCUCAAUAAGUUUGGUGUUUUAAUGUUAUGUAGAAGAAAAAUAGAAGAAAAGAAGAAUCAACUAUAGAAUAAAGAUAAUAUGAAUUCAAACUUCACACCAAAUCCACGGAACAUGUUGGUUUCUUCUACACUUAAACCAUCACUUCAAUGCACAUAUUGGCAACAGUUUCAAAUUUAUGGAUCAAGCAACCAACAUAAAUUUUCAUAUGUUCCACAUUUUUACUUAAGUGCUUUGAACAACUCCUUCAUCACUUCCUUUUUUUUUUUGAGAAAAUCUCCUCCAUCACUUACGAACUGAAAAUAUAGCAAUACAUCUUCACAAAGACUAUGUACAAAAAAACACACCAAAAUAAAAAUCAUAAAUCAUUUGUUCUCCAACUUGCAUCAAAAGCUAAAUACACUUUCAAAAUAAAUUCUAAAUAUCACGGUUCAUUACAUCACACAUAACUCCCAAAUAAAUAAAAUAGUUAUAUGGAACAAUCUGGUGACAAAAUGAAAACUGAUCUUUUACAAAUCAAGUUGCACCAAAUUUUACAAAAAUAUAAAUGCAAAGUAAUUAUUCCCGCCCUGUGAUUCUCAAUUAAUACAUGAACUAGGUGAUAACCCGUACCCUGCGCAGGGCGAGUAGAUUUAAAAGUAUUAUAACUUUUAAUAUGUAGACAUAAUAAAAUUUAAAGUCAUAGUAAAAAAAAUAUAUGUAAAAAAGUACGGGUUAUAGCUAAGAAUUUUAGUAUGUAAUAUAAAUUUAUAUGCGAUGGACUUUAAAAUUAAAUUGUAUAUUUUUUUGCAUAAAGGUAAAUUAUAAAUAUAAUAUUAAAUGAAACAUAAGCAAUUGUCUAAUAAAAUAUAAAAGGAACAAUGUAUCAGAAAAUAAAAGAAAAUGAAAAAUAGAGACAAAAUAACUGUUGUCAAUACUGUCUUCAAAAGUCUUCGUUUGCAAUCCUAUUAUGAGCAAUAGCAAAGAGAUCAUCUUGAGAAAUUAAAAAUAUUAUUUAACAAAAUAUGUGAAUGCAUGUAUUACCUCAAUCGUAAAGCAUCAAUUUCUGGAAUACCAGUGGGGUCGAAGACAAUUUUGGAAAACCGAUCAAUGUUAGUAUCCUUCUUAAGUCAGCCUUAUUAUGAAGGAUGAAGUUCUGGUCACGCAAACUUAAUUUCACAAAUAUUUACAUGUGAUAUUUGUAGCCUUCUUAAGUCGGCCUUAUUAUUGACGUCAAAUAGGUAAUAAAAUGAAGUUCUGGUCACGCAAACUUAAUUUCACAAAUAUUCUCCGAUCGAUUAAUGUAAGUAUUUCAAUUCUAAGAAUUUUGUUUCCUUGAAUACGUUAACAUUCUCAUUUUGUUUUUCUAUAAUGUAUUCGAUCCCGUGAUCAAGUCAAUUGUGUUUCUUUUAAAAUUUGAAGCAUUAAGUUUUGGGAAUAAAAAAAGGAUUUUCGUUGACUUGAAUCUAAAAGAUCAUAAAACGAUUUGAAGCUCAUAUUAGUUUUUCAAAACAUUAUGAUAAACAUGGUUAACUUGUUGCAGGGUUAGAUAUGAACUGCAAUACUGGUUAUGAUAUUUUCAUACAAAUCGACAUAUCAAGCUAAAAGAACUAAUUCAAACCGUAAAGAACAGAUUAUAAAGAAAUUUAAAGAACCAAUUAUUUACUCAAGCGUAAAUGAUUAUAAACACACGUAUAUUUUAUUGCCUUAUUUAAAUGAACCAAUUCCAAGUUUUUGAACAAACAAUAAAGUCUCUUUUUGAAUGGUAAUAAUAUGUUGCCUUAUUUAAAUAUUCUUUUUUUUUAAUCCGAAUGUAAUUUAAUGUUGAUCGAAAAUCUUAUACUAUAAUGUAAUGACCAGUGGCAUUUGUUUGUAAUUAGUCUAGUUGAGGAAGGGCUUUUAAAAAAAUAAAGUGAGAAUGCAUGUGGUGAUGACACUUAGAAAAUAACACAUAUGUACUAAACAUAUGAAGCCAAAGUUAUUUUUUAUGAAUGUUCCGAUUUUAUUGGCAGAUGUUAAGCUAAGACCUAGACGUGGUGAUGCAAGAAUAGAAUUGUGUGCAGCUUACCUUAAAGGCCCAUAAUUGUGAGCCCAAAUGUAAGAGGCUGAGGAAAUUGUUUAAGCAGAUAGACGAGAGACUGCCCAAAACGUGUAUAUGUUCUUCCGUAGCCACCCACCAUUCUCUUUGACAAAUUAGUUGUUAAACGAAGAAAAUGGCGGAGUUGCUUUUGAGUUCGUCGGCACAGUCUUCUCUCAGACCCAGAGGGAUCCUCUCGUUCAAUACCCCUUCUGCUUCACCGAUCCGAAGUCUCGCCUUCACUAGUUCCAAAGGUUUUCAUCCUUUAGCGUUCAAAUCUGCUCACCAAAGGUUGAUCACUUCUAUUACUGUUAACUGCGUCGAUUCGGGAGCCAAAGCUGUUGAAGUCGAACCUGUGAUCGGCGGAGGAGGAGGUGGUGGAAUCGGAGGGGACAAGUUCGGCGGGGGUGGGGGAGGCGGCGAUGAUAAUGACGAAGGAGAAGCCGGCGGGGAGGAGGAGACGCCUUUGCCUUUGUCUAUGUCGCAGAAGUUGACUCUUGGUUACGCUUUCCUUGUUGGAGGUCAGAUUCGCUUUUUAGGGUUUUAGACUUAAUUGGAGUCAGCUCAAGUUGAUGCUUUAGAGGUUCUGUUUUGAAUUGGCUUAUGAUUUUAACUAUAUGAGUUUUGUAAGUCUAGUGUCUAUCUGUGUAUGCAUAUCUAAACAAUGAACUUGACUUAUUGAAAAGUAUUCAAUCUGUUAAACUGUAGCUUAUGGCUUCAAUAUGUCUGAAACUUGAUGCAGUUGGUGGGCUGAUGGGUUAUCUGAAGAGCGGUAGCCAGAAAUCGCUGCUUGCGGGUGGACUUUCAGCUGCUGUUCUGCUCUUUGUCUUCCGUGAGCUCCCAACUAAACCUGUUCUUGCUUCAACCAUUGGUGUGGGUAAGGAAAGAAAGAGGUUUCCAGUAGCUUGCUAUUUUUCUCCGUGAAUGAAACUAAUACUCUCUCAUAACGCCUGAACUUGUUUUGUUAAAAGUGAUGGCGGGUGCAUUAACGUGGGUGAUGGGAACUCGGUACAUGGGUUCCAAGAAGAUAUUUCCGGCUGGAGUCGUGUCCUUCAUGUCUUUCAUUAUGACCGGAGGAUACAUACAUGGCAUCAUGCGCAGCCUUCACUAAGCAGCAGCCGCACCAUCACUUAGCUUUGCAGUUGUGUCUAAACGUUUUCUCGGGUUUAAAUUGGACUCUGUUUUUUUUUUCUGUUUGUUUACUUAUGUAAAAGUACGCAGCUUUGUAUUUGUUUUGUUUGAACCGUACCAGAAAUAAGAAAACUACCCAAUGUUUAACUUUCUUAUUUCUGAUGGAUUUAGUGGCCAGAAUCCUAACUCAUAGGUUGAUGAUCCUGACAAGAAUUAAAUCGAUUUCUCGAUUGAUGUCCCAUUUUGCUAUACAACAGACAAGAACUUUACAAAUUGUUGCGUCUUUGUGAUCAUAGACGUUCUUUGAAAGCAUGACAAUAACUGAUAUUUGAAUUAAUAACACAUGUAUUAUUAAGCAAGUAUAAGAUAAUUAUAUCCGUCUUAAACUUAGAAACAUAUAAAAUUUUCUGUUUAACUCAUAAACUCGAGUUAACUAGGGAUUUCCAUUCCAAAUAGCUCUCAACUAUGUCUAGACCACAAAGCUCCUUGACAACGGGCAUUGAAGCUGGAACUGGCAACUGAAACAUUAAACUCGGACCAUCCUCACCCUUCCACAUCCUUAGCUGUUUCCGCGCUUCUUUAAUCGCCUCUCUUGUAGCGCAGUGCACCGAAGCUGCCAGUAGCAAAGGAGGCUCUCCUGAAGCUGUAUUUACAUACAAAAACAAAAUUACUGAAAAGUUAAUUCCAAGAUCUUCAAAUGUUUUUUUCGUGUGUAAAAACUACGGACCUUUAGAAGAGAGUACACGCUUUUCAUGGCGUCCACUAUUCAUCAUCUCAACGUUGAACUGUCUUGGGAUGGUGUCUACAGUCGGUAUCUUGUAUGUCCAUGUGCUGUCUGUCACAAGGAGUCCUUCUGAAUCGGUUAUGUACUCUUCAAGCAUGAAAAAACCAAGUCCUUGCACAAAAGCUCCUUCAAUCUGAAGACCGAAUAAAAAAAAAUAAUACCAUCACACAACUGUACUGUAAGUGAAGAAGAAUAAAUGUGUGUUUGUGUGUGUGCUCUCUAUUAUUAUUAUUUACCUGUCCUAAAUCGACAGCCGGAUUGAGGCUUUUUCCGGAGUCAUAUAAGAUAUCUGUCUGUAGAACCGUGGUAUGUCCGGUCAAAAGGUCUACCUCAACCUAUAUUGAUUGAUAUACCAAAAGUUACUCGAUUUCUAUAUUCCAAAUUCAGAAGAUAAAUUGGGAGGAGAAUACUAAAGAGAGAAGCUUACCUCGCUAACUGCAACACCAUAGUUCAGGUACUUUGUGGGUUUUUCUUCUGGAGUAUACAAGUCACUAGCUGAUAAGUUCACUGACUGAGCAUAUGCCUGCGUUUAUACAUAAGAAUCAAGAAUUAAUGAGAGAGAAAAAAAAUCAAGAAGCAGUCAGUGAGUCUUUAAAGAAAAAAAGAAGAGAAACCUGAGAAAUCAACUUGUUCCAGCUGAUGGGACCAUCCGAUUUCUCCAUUAGAGGUUUCAAUCUCUUGACUAAGGUUUCGCAGCAGAGACGAACAGCUGCGCAGCUUCCCUCAGAUGUUGUGCUACCUCCUGUAAAGUUUCCUUGGACCAUACUCAAUGUAUCUGAUUGUACAACUCUUAUCUUAUCCAGUAGCUCUUCAGUUGCACCACAUUUGAGCAAACCAAGAGCAUAGCUAGUCAUUUGCUUCACCUUUGUCCAUAAACCUUGUCCUAGCUCGAUCCCACCAACCUCAACGACUAUUGUUCCAUCGCUCAAAACGCUUACUCUCCCUGGAGUUGCAAACAUGGAAACCGGAUAAAUGAUUGGAACUCGAGAUAUCCCUCGUUUUCUCCAUAUGUUAAACUCGUUGAACAUUCGGACAAUCGAAACCCGCUCUUCAAAGUUGGAAGAUACACCCAGCUUAUCCCACAUGGAAGACAAAGUAUACUCAUGUGGCUCACCAGCAGCAUCCUUGUAGAAGAGAGCUAAGCUCUCAUAUGUAUGGAGAUUAAUAUUUCUUAUGGUAUCAGCCUCCAAGGAGAGGCUAGAAGCUACAUUUUCUAUAAUGGCUUCGGCGAUAUAGGUACCCUGAACAUCCCCUGGUGCUCUCAUGAUUGCUUUACUUACCAGGUUCGUUUUGCAAAGUUUGAUGUCAAAAGAUAUGGCUCCCCAAUUGUACUUCUUCAACGCCCCAAUGAUAUUCGAUGGCAUCAAUAUGCUAAGACCAAGAGUUGCUCCUGCAUCAAUUAGUAUUUCUAGCUUCAAAGCUGUGAUCUUCCCUGUGGAUUUGAAUCCAACGCUGUAGGUUAUCUUCAUUGGAUGCCUCCCACCAGUCAUGAUCAUAUCGGUCUUACGGUUUACAUAUGUCCGCACAGGACGCUGCAGUUUAUUAGCAGCAACAGCGCACGCUGCUGCAACCUGAGACGAUGGAAAAGCUUUUUGACGUUUCUUGCGUAGAAAGUGAGUGAAAAGAAGACAUUUAAUUAAAAACAAAAAAACAAAAAACUUACCGGCAUUGCUUUGACAGCUUUUCCUCCAAAGCCUCCACCGACACGUCUGGCUAUGACGCGGACCUUGUUUUCAGGGAUGCCUAGGCAAGUAGCGACCGUGGAGUGUACGUACUGAGGGAUCUGACAUGAACUAUAGACUACAAUGGAGUUGUCUUCAUCUGGCACUGCAAGAGCUGUUUGCGUCUCCAUGUAGAAGAAGUAUUGCGACCCAAGUCUUAUCUGUUUCAUAUCAAAGUAUUUUUUCUUUUUUAUUUUACAAAAAAAAUGUGAAGGAGAGAGAGAGAGACUAGAAUCACAAUACAUACUUGGGAGCUGAGAAUUUGAUGAUCAGCUUCGGACAUUCCUUUUAAGGUGUCUCCAACUUGUUGUGGAUAUAAGAAAGGAUAAAUCUCAAACAUGCUAGAUUUCUUAACAGCCUCUUCCACAGACAAGAUUGGUGGUUCCAUAUCCUCUGUUUCGUAAUCAACUACUGCAAGAUUAGCUGCAGUAUCUGCAUGCCUCUGCGUAUCCGCAACCUGCAAAAGAAAAAAUAUAUAUUAUGUGUGUUUGCUAGUGUGAUGGAAUGGAACAUAACUUAAAAAAACUCAUUGUUGACACAAGACUUACCACGAGUGCGAUGCAUUGGCCAACAUGAAGGGUUAACUCAUCUGCAAAUAAGGGCUCAGUGAAAGACGCAAACUUAAAACCCACAUUCUUUCCACUUUUAGGAACAUCCUCGCAAGAAAUGACGGCAACCACUCCAUCAGGUACCGAGUUAUCCUUGAAACGAAUACCUUUCAACUUAGCCGAUGGCUUUGUGCUGUAGAUGAAAGCUCCAUAGAGGCAGUUUGUGGGCGCUGGAAUGUCAUCCACAUAAACAGCCUCCCCAGAAGCUUGAAGUGAUGCUCCAGAUUUAGUAGCAGGAUCACCAACCGGAUAAAAUUCUUUGUCUAUUGGAACAUGUUGUGAAGAAGACAGCAUUGGCUGAUCCAAGUGGUGCCCAGGUUUCUCUAAGGAGUGAAAGAAGUUGAAAAGAAAGCCUUGAGCUAAGCUUGAUCUAUAAGCAGGAUUGCUUGUACCCUCUUGUGGCUUAACGAUCUUGCCAAGUAAGGUAAUAGCUUCAUAGAGAACAUUGUCAGUAACUACUUUCCCAGAGAGAAACUCCUCAACUUCCUUACACCUAAUGGCGUGUUUGGUCCCGUAAGCUCCAAAGGCCAGCCGACAGUUAAUAAUCUCCUUUGUAUCCAAAUUCACUUGAGCUAGGAAAGCAGCAUUCAAGUAAGCCAGAGCGCUUCCCAGCGGACGAGGUGCUGCUCUGUAGGUUUCAAAGACCACAUCUCCAGAGUUUCCUUCAUGAUGCCAAAACGGUAUUUCGAUACUCAAAACCAGAUCAUAAGCAUCAAGAGGAGGUCCCUGGAGAAACUGUUCAAGUGUUACCUUCUCCAGUCCUCUCGACAAGCUCAUAGUGUUAACCGAUGCCCCAGCUGCAACAAGUAUAGUGGCAAUGUCAGAAGGAAAGUUUUUCCUCUGAGCCAUUACAAGGUUUCCUCCAAUGCUGGCAAAGUUCCUGAUAAACCUGGCAGCGAUCUUCUCCAUAUGAGCAGCGAGCUUCCCAAACAUGUGAAUCUCUUUUAGAGCAGCAAUCACUUUAGAUAUUGUUGCCACAGCUCCUAUCUCAACCCCAUUGUGACUUUCUCUUAUCUCUCUCAUCUCGGCUAUUCGAGUAAGGUCCACGUAUUUAUCGUAACUCCCCUCCUUUUCAUCCUUGUAGUAUCCUGUGCUAGUAUUACCAGCAACUAGCUUCAUAGAAACUACAUCACUGUUAGCCUUACAAGCUCCCACUAUAAUUUGAAGCUCCUCAACACUCUCCGGGCUACACCAUUUAAGCGUUCCAGAAUCAAUACACUUAAUCUCACCAUCCUUGAGAAACUCUGGAAACGUACAGACACGCUUCUCACUAUCAAAGCGAGGCAAGCUAGUUUUCUUACAGAAAGAGUUGAAGCCAAGAUCCUCAAUGUCUACAUCAGAAGCAAAGCUCUUGCAAGCAUCAAUGAUUGGACGGUAUCCGGUACACCGACACAAGUUCCCGGAGACAGCUUUCUCUGCUUCAACAGCUGUAAACUCAGAGGCAGAAGAUUUAGAGUCUAAGAGAGCAGAGAAGAGAGAAACAGACAUUCCCGGUGUGCAGAAACCACACUGAGAGGCGUGAAAACCGGAGAACCGAUUGUGAAUGGAAUGGAAACCGUCUCUGCUGUUUCCAAGUCCUUCUGAUGUUGUGAUGCUGCAAUGGUUUACGCUGCAGAGGAGUGUGAGGCAAGAGCUGACUGUGAAGUCUUCCACGCUUUUGAGAAUAGGAUCGUAUUUGGAGAGGAGAACAACACAAGCACCACAUCCUCCUAAACCAAGACAAUAUUAAGAACUGUAACCAAAGAAAGAAGACAAAGGGUAAUGAAAUAAUAAUAAUAAUCACUCACCUUCGCCGCAGCUGAGCUUGACGCUCUUGAAAGGAGUCUGGUAGCGGAGGAACUCUAACAGAGUUGUUGAAGGGUCCACGGACGAGAGUUCAAGCUCGAACCUUUGUCCAUUAAUGGCGAAAACCAAGCUCAUUCUCUCUCUCUCUCUCUCUCUCUCUCUCUCUCUCUCUCUCUUUCUUAUCUCUCUAUCACUUCAAGUGCGUACUAGUAUAUAUUAUUCUGACUACUGCUUUGUCCACGUAUAAAAGUGAUAUAUAUAUAUUACCGACUAAAUUGACUUUUCUUAUAUUUUAUUUUCCUACACUUGUGUUACGUUUCCAAAUGGUAACCAUAGGAGAUGCCCACUAAAAGAAACAAUCUAUAUAUAUAUAUAUAUACAAAUCUUUAACAGAAAAAAAUAUUAUCACGUUGCAAAUAUAGAUGCUUUCCCACCACAAAGUCUAAAUUAUGAUUGGUUAUUUAUUUUGAUCAUUUUUAGGUCUUUUAUUCCUUGAUAAUAAAAAAAUCAAAAUGGCCACAAAUGAACACCUUUAGCAAGAGAAAUUAAUUUGAUACUUAAUAGUGCGAAAACUGUAUGUGGAUUCUCACAUCUGCUAAAAAGAACAAGAUAAGCUCUUGUUCCAUGACUUCCUAGGAUCCAAGACUGAAACUUUAGCAUCCAUUUCCAAGACUGAAACUUUAGCUUCCACUUCCAUGGCUGACCACUUCCAAAAAGAACAAGAUAAGCUCUUGUUCGAUUAUUUCAUCGAGCUUCGAUUCACUAUGAUUUUAAUGUGUAGAAGAAGAUCAUGUGAAUUAGUUUCUAUAGUUGGAAACUUUUCGUCCAUUAGAUCUCCUAAAUAGAAAAUUAGAACAUCUACAAGUGGAACAAGACAUGAGUGUACAUUGUUUUGUUUAUUUUAUAAAACAUGAACAUUGUUUUUUUUUUCUUUUGUGUUAGCAUGUGGGUUGAUUGAGCUCUGGUGUGUGAAGUGAAACACUCUUUAUGUCCUUCUCUGUCCAACCAUAAUGUCUCUGAUGGAUUAGUUGGGACAUUGGAAGUGAAUUUGACAAAUGAGUUUGUGAUGCUUUUUUAUAUGACUUGUUCUUCUUUAUUACCUCUCUCUAGCUACUACUACUACUGCUGCAAUUUCAUGUUGCUUAUCUAGAUUUUAUCUUUCUAUUAUUUGAAAGACAAGGCAGCAGUGGGGGGGGGGGGGGGGGGGGGAUCAUCUUGAUGGGAGACAACUGCUUGGACCAAGAAGUGAGGUUUCAGGCUCAAUCAUGAGCAAUCGAUUUUUAGGAAACAAGAGAAGUAACUCUGAUUCACAAUUCACGGCUCAAGACCACCCAGAGACUCUGCACUGGUCCAAGGUAAGAUAAACCGGAACCUACAUUACCUUACCGUGUUCACAGCUUCAAGGAACUCUGUUUUAUGUGAUCUGUCAUUGUCAAAAAGCAGAUGCUAAGAAACGGACCUGGAAGCCUCUCCAUGAAUAUGAACCGUAUGGCAAACCAGCCUCCACGAGGAGGAGGUGGACAAAUCAGUCAUUUGCUUCAUCAGCUGUCUUCAAGCAGGUUCAAGGAUGAAAACGUGGUACCAUCAGUUAUCUCCCAGACAGCUGCAGAUGAAGGUUCACGGACAGGGAUGAAAGGUCCAGGUGUCAUGAGUCCUUUUACAAUGCCAAAUCCGAGCAGAUUCGAAUGUUUUACCCCUUCAAGGUGUGAUGUCUCUAGUCUUGUGAUGCUUUGUCCUCAAGUCAGUUUCAACUUACGUACUAACUAUUGUAGUCAUCAGUCACGGACUUGUAAAGCUUUGUGUCUAUAUAAACAUGUGAACUCUUGUAGUCUUGUGAACUCUUGUAGUCUUGUCUAUAUAAACUUUUAUUCACAACACAACACUCUUCUUCAUUCAUCACACAUCUUUUCUCAAGUUCCUUCUCAAGUUCUUUUUUGAAAAUAAGUUUCCCUCGACUUGUAAACAAGUUUUAUAAAAAAAAUUCAUCUCAUGGUUUCUUUUUCUCAAAACACUUUUGAGGGAUCACUUGAUAAAAAUUUUGAUCAAUAUUUUGAUCAAACCUUUGAAAAUUUUUCAAUUCAUUACCUUUGAGAAUUUUUCCAUUCAAGUUCAGAUUUUUUUAAAAAUCCCUAAUUAAGAAACUUCCAUUGGACCGCUCAAAAUGAGAGUUUCUUAAUUAGAGUUCUUAAUCCUACUUAAAUACAUUUAAAAUAUUAAAUAAUCAUUAAAAACCCACUUAAGAAUCAUGGAAUAAUCAUGCUCUAAAUAUAACACUUUUAGAAUCACUAAAAACCCCAUAUGUGCCUCUUUGUUAUUGGUUAAAACAAUAAAGGAGAAAAUCUGACCUUCUCUUUCUUUCUCUUCGUUAAUGUCUUUUUUUUGUUUGGUCUGAGAAAUUGGUUCGUCGAUGUUCGUAGAUGUUUUGAAAAAUCUCUCCAAAUCAUCACACGAGAUCAACCGUUUGUUUGUUGGAUGAGAGAUGCUGAGCUUGGAUAAACAAAGGCCUGAAUCGUCAUCAUCGGAGGAGGCGCAAGCUGUGACUCCGUGGGUUGUCUCCGGUAAUGUCGAUCACGAGAAGGUGAUCGAAAAGUUCGGCUGCGAUAGGAUAGACGAGUGGCUGAUUGCUCGUGUCGAAAGACUCACCGCCAGUGCCGGUGCUGAUUAUUAUCUUUCAUCCUCCAAGAAAAACAGAGGUUUGAUCCCAAAGUUCAAAACUUUUCAUUCAUUCUUCUUUGGGUUUCGAAUUUCAAUGUACUUUUGUAAUAAGUUUAGGCUAAGAUUUGUGUAGAAGGUUGAAUUAGCGUAUAGCAAGACAAAGAUUGCGCCUUUGUGGGUACUUAUUUGAUAUAGUUGAAGAUUUGAGUAAAGCUUGUGACUUUGUUGGGUUUUGUAGGGUGUUUGGAUCCAGAGGAAGCUAUUUUCAGAACGGGAGGAUGUGUCUGGUUUGCUGAUGGCUUCUAAGAUAUGUGGUGAGAGGUCUGGUCUCGCUGAGGAAGGCAUAGACUAUGCGAGGAGAAGCUUAGGCAACGAGUGCGUUCAGUUAGAUGGUGCAGCGCGUCUUGUUUUAGGCAUUGCACUCACCGAAAUCUUUGAUGUACUGAGACCGAGCAUGUAGCUAGGCUCUCCGAGGGGAUGCAGGCGCUGGAGUCUGCUGAUAUAACAGACCCGAGAGUCCUGCACCGUCUUGCGUUGGAGAACGCAGAGGAGAGGAAGCUGGAUUCCGCGUUAGCUUACGCUAAGCACGCGUUGAAGCUUGGAGCAGAGUCUGAUCUUGAAGUAUGGUUGCUUCUGGCUCGGGUUUUAUCUGCUCAGAAGCGGUUUUCAGACGCCGAGACUAUUGUUGAUGCAGCGCUUAACGAAACGGGGAAGUGGGAACAAGGGAAGCUGUUGCGUUUGAAGGAAAAGUUUCGUGUGGCUAAAGGAGAAGUCAAGGAUGCUAUUGUGACUUACACACAGCUUCUCGCACUCCUUCAAGUUCAAAGCAAAAGCUUGAGUUCUGCAAAGAAGAUGCCAAAGGGAUAUUAUGUAGAGGGAUGUCUCAUCAUUUCAGGGAGAUGUGUGUUGGAGACCAUCUUGCUGAUGGAAGCUAUGAAGAGCGGGAUGAUCCUGAUGGUGGAUUGGAAGAGGCUUAUCAGGUGACUCGUAGUGAGAUUCACUUUACAAUCUGUCUGCAGGUUUCUUCCUGUUCCAUUUGUUGAUACCAUCUGAUCAAACUUCUCAUCACGACUGUUUGUUCAUUCACAUCUUUGAUCAAACUUCAUGUCAUGUAUGCUUUUUUCAUCUUAUAAAUAAAACCUCAUUGAGGUUCUUCAAAUUUUUUUUUUUUUUUGGGCUUAUUGUACUGAUGAUUUGCUAGGAUUUCAUUUUUUUCUCAAAUCUCACUUUAUUGGAUCUAUCAUUUAUGAAAAUAAUUUGGAGUUAUUUGAAAAUGAUUUAUAGUUGAAAUUUAAUGAACAUAAAUUCCAUGUCGUGAGUAGGUAUUUGAAAAUUUUAUCAGUUUUCUUUUUCUUCACUGAAUUUAGAAAACUUUUACUUUGCCCUCAGCCUUUGUUUCUUCCAGUGAAAAGCAAGAGAACUCAUUUCAGAAUUAUACUUGAGUAAAUGAAAGCGAUCAGGAAAAUUAAAGACUCAAAACAAAAGGCACAAAGAACAAAAAAAAUGAUAGUCUUAUCCGUUUCUGGGCUUUUUCAAGUUUCCGUUUCAGACGAAGCUGUAAGGCUUUAGCCGCCAGUUGAUUAACGCUUAGAGAUUCAAUACUGGUUUUGGUUUUUGAAGGUAAUGUUAUUUGCUCUAUGUUGAGUCUCUACAAUCUCCACUGAUUCAUUCUUCUGUUUAGAAGCAUUUCUUUCAUGAAGCUUCCAUCAUUUGAAAACCUAUUCAAGUGAGCUGCAGCUUCAGAUAUCUGCUUCCAGUGUUCAUGUCUAUGAGUUUGGCCCUUUUUUCCCUAAGAUAAUGAAAGAUUAUUUUUAGGGAAUAUCAAUACACGAUGACUCAUAUAAUCAUCCUUCAAAUACUCCCAACCAUUACCCUUCAAAUAAAACACGCCACAAUGGCAGAAUAUUGCCUGUCACACUGAAACGAGCCUGCAAUAUAUAUUUUAACUACCUGGUAAGAAACUAACCAUCUAAUCUGAACCAAUAAGACUGUAUUUCUAACUUAAAAUUCCCUCACCUCUUCAUAUAUACUUUCUCCCAGCCUUUCUGGUUAGUAGCAACAUCCUAUCAAAACCAAUGUUCUUUCUAACAAUAUACCAUUCUAACAACUAACUAUCAGUCUCUCCACGUACAAUCUUGGCUUAAAAGUUCAUCUCUUUUGCUAUGCAAUCCCAAGAAUAUGUAUGUAGCGAUACUCACAAAACUUUCCAAACAUAAUUCAAACCCCCAAAAUUAACCGUUAGAGCUUAGAUCUGUUCUCAAAUUCUCUGCAACUUGGAGUGAAUAACUGAAGAAACUAGUGUAUACCACCUUGAAGUGGAGCUUCACGGAUCUGUUCAAUCACUUUCUUAAGCUCUAUAGCCAUCACAAGUCUUUGAUGAACAACAAGGGACAGAACUGGAGAUGUAACUGGGAGAACAGCUAUGAUGGUUGUAAGAUCACCUCCACUUGAGUCAUCCGGGCAAAGCCAUUUCGUUUUCUUUUUUAAUCUAACGAGCUUUAACGACGUCAUUACGUAUAAAGACAAUCCUAUGGUUUUUAAAAAAAUCCUACCUAAAUCACCAUCUAAAUUACCAACAAAAUCUUCAAAUCCCUAUUAAAAUCUUCAAAUUCCACUAAAUUUAAAAAUCCUAGAAUUUUCUCAAAUCCUAGCAAAUCAUCAGUACAAUAAGCCCCCUAAAAAAAAAAUAUUUGAAGAACCUCAAUGAGGUUUUUCCAUUGGAGGAGAAAAAAAUUUAAUUAGAUUAACAAGGGUUCUUAAGUUUUCAUAUCACAAAUUAACUACUAAAUAAUUCAUUAGAACCUUUGAUAGUCUCUUACCAAUGGACAUGCUCUUAGAGUCAUGUAGGAUCUCUGAAUAGUAAAGGUUGAAGUUGAGGCAAUCCCAGAAGCGAGAGAUGUAAGACCUGAUCCCGGCCGACUAGGCCGCGGUCGAUGCCUCACGUCGCUCAGUCCAUACCCGGACCGAACCUCUAAAAAUUUUGCCCUUUAUUUAAAAUAUCGCCCAUUGGCGAGGGCUAACUCAGAUCCUAGCUCAAGACUACCUUAGUCAUUCCCUAGCUAGAUCCCUUCAACUUAUGCACAGCGGAAUAGUAUCUACUUAACCAUUGGUCUAAACCAAUCUAACACUUGUCUGGUCAGAUCACCUCAGCUACUGGUCAGUAAACACAACUGCCAGCUAGCUCCAAGGUCGAUCCUGAACCUAGACCAAGUCAUACAAUCAGAGGUUCCGUUCCCCUAAGCCAUUCUAUCUAGAUCUAUGCAACAUUGACAGAUCAUACUUUUGCCACAUUCCCGGAGCUUGUUAGCUCAUUGGCCCAGCUACGCUAGCUGAAGGAACUCGUAAACCAGCUGAUCGAGCUGUCACACUCGAACUGAGCUAGGACCGAGCUAUGACCAGCUGCCAUAUACUGCGUCCCGCUCCUUUACACACACAAAACAACUCCCUUAGGUACUUAGUCAUUCAGCCAACCAUCCCCACAGACAUAAGUAACCCUUGAGAAGUCUUCAAACAGCUAAGGACAUGCAUCUGGCCCUUACCGGCUCAUGCACUGUCUCACAUCCUUUUUGCCUUAUCAACUUAUGAUACCAAGUCCAGCUCAUGGACUAACAAUGCCCAUCAGAUCCUGAGUCAAUCAACCAACCACCCCACAUGACUCAGAACUGAUGAGUCUUCAUACUUCCUAAUCAGUCAUGGAACCAUGUUCCACUGAACCUGAUUAGUGUUGCUCUUACCACCGGUGCAUCCUUUGAUCAAUCAGAUCAGACACCUUGAUCCAUCAUCCAAGGAUCAGGUCGUCCAUCCUUGCCCAUGAUCAGAUCACACACGGCCUGCCUUACCAACACCAAGGUUGAUAACCAGCAAUUCCUUAUGAUCAAUAUCAUAAAUGACAAUAUGUUCCAGCACACAAACAUAUGAUCAGAUAUCCUAACACAAGGAUCUGACCCCAAUAUGCUCUCAGGUGCAAUUUCGACCGCAAGCAAACCUGCUCCAAAAAUCAAUUAAAAUUCAUGACAAUUCAUGAUAAAUCAUAACUAAGAGAAUGGUCCAAUCAGAUUUCCCAGAACCGGCCUCCAUCCCAUAGAUCUCGGCCAAGAUCAGCCAAACCGGCCCAAGGGACCAUCUCUAAAUCAAUCCCUAAAAACUCAUUAGGAUUCAUGAUAAUUCAUGAUAAAUCUUAACUAAGAGAAUGGUCAAGUCAGAAUUCCAAGAACCGAUCUCGAUCCUAUGGAUCUCGACCUAGAACAGCCCCACCGGCCACAUUGACCAUCUCGAAAUCAAUCAGAUAAAAAUCCCCAAAUACCAUGAUAAUUCAUGAUAAUUCACCACUAAGAGGAUUCCAAAGUCAGAUCGCCAUAAAUCCAUCAGGAAGUAGGAGAUCCGGACUUAGCUGCCAAACCAAGGCCAUGGAGGGUUCUUCUGAACCGGCCAAGCCAUGGUUCAGUGCUACUAUGUCUAAUCAUCAAUCUCAAUCAUAAGAAGAAGAAAUAAUAUGAUUAAUAAUCAUAAAACAGAGUAAGGUGUAACUGAAGGACCAGAUCAGCCCAUAGUGUACCAGACUAUGUCCAAUGGUCUGCAGUCCCCACCUGUUACCUCAUCAGGGGCGUCCAUGCUCUUCCUAGCACGCCUUCAUCAAACCCUUUUCACAUACUUCCAGUAUUGAUAAGAUCUAACCAUGGUUCGUGACCAUCACUCCUUCCAUGGAACUUCCAUGAAACCAGUUUCUACACUUCAUCCACCUUCAAGGCUAUUCAUGCCAUUGUGAGUGAAGUCCGGCCUUCUCCCUUCUCUCCUGGGUGUUUUCGUGUGUUCCCAAGAUGCAGAGGAAGCCUAGGACGUGUUCAUCAGUGGUGGAAACCUACCACAGGGUCGUUCAUAACUCCCCUUGCACUUCCAUGAAACUGCCUUUCUACACACAUCUGCCCUUAAGGCUGUCUUGGCCUUUAGGAAUGAAUUCCGGUCAUCUACCUUCUCUCCUCACCAUUUGCGUGUGUUCUCAGGCCCUGGAGGAUGCAUUGGGUGAUAACAUCACGGAUCAAAAGCCACCAGAAAGUCGUUCAUAACUUUCCCCCUUGAUCUCUCCCAAAACUGCCUCUUUAUGGCCUUCACACCACCAUGGGUCUUGGAUUGGAAAUCCGACCAAAUCUCUGUCUUUUCUCUGUGUUUCUUUGUGUUUCAGGGUGUAGGACUUGCCUUCCUUAUAUAGGAGAAGGGGUGGUUACUUCUUAACCAUUGCAUCCCUUCGGUAUCAUUUCUGGCCAUUGAUUUAAUCAAUGGUACAGAUUGCACCCUUUCGCCUAUGGCAGUUACCACACGCCCUGGAACUGCCAAACCACUCCUGGACAUGUCCAAAACUAUCCCACACGGACUGCUCAUGCCCCUGGCUAAAUCCCAAGAGCCCACUAGCCCAUCGGUACACACGAGUCACCCACAUGUCGCGGCCACUGUCCAGACCCGCCCCAACUGCCCAACACCUGAACACUCAGUCCAGCUGAGUUGAGCUGAUCCCCAGCUGAUCCAGCUGAGUGAGCUAGACCAUCCAGCUCAGGGAGCUGACCUACACUUCAGUGAGCUACACCAAGCUGCACUACACUUCACCUAGCUGGUCGAGCUUGUUUACUGCAUCGCCCAGCUGUUAUACACUGUGUCCAGCUUGCUUCCUUUAUCUUCUUCAAUCCUUCUAAGUCCCUUGGUCAAUUUCCAGACCUAGACUUAGUUUUCCCAUGAUCCAUUCUGAUCACUCACUUCAUCGAGCUUCACCUGGAUCUUGUCCAGCUACCAGCUCGCUUGUCCAGCUCCAUUGAGCUUGUCUCCUUCUUGGAUUAGCUAUGCCUUAGCUUCCUGAUGCUCUUAACCUUACCUUCAGGCCAUGAUAUACUUGUCCUUAGGUCAUAUGACCUGACUGGUGCGUUUCCUCGCACCACAGUCCGUCCGGACGUUCCUAUCCAGGAUCAGGGACAUGAUAAGUCUCCCCCACUUACGAAGGAUUCGUCCUCGAAUCCAGUGGUGUUAACCUCUUGUCUCAUGACAAAGGUUCCAUCCGAACUCCUUUGUACCCGGAACAUGGAGCAUGCUCGAUUGGUUCUUUCUAACCAAUUCGUUGCAUCUCCCACCUUGUUCCUUCUCACUGACCACGUCUUGGUCAUCAUAUACACAACAAGUCUCCCCCCUUGAUAGAUAUUUAACCCAAAAUCUUAUCAAGUGGUUCAUCAAGCACCCAUACAAAGAUAUGACUUGUGUCACUGACCCAACUCUCCAGGUUGCGUUCCUAGUAGACACCAAGUCCAUGUAGAACACUUCAGUUCCAUGACUAGAUCAAAUUCAGUACCUAGGAACAUACUGAGUACUCAAGUCUUAGUAGAUUCAACCAAUCUCCAAGCCACUCGAUGCACCAGCCAAGUCCUAGCGAACAUGUUCCAAUCUUUAGGCUGCUCACUCUACCAUGAGUCCUAACAGAUUGUUCUGUUCCCUUAAGUCCUUCCUGGACAAUAAGGUUUAUGAUUCCAGCAACUCAUCAAUCCUGGGUAAAGGGUACUUGUUCUUCACAGUCACCCUGUUCAAACCCCUAUAAUCAAUGCACAACCUAAAGCUACCAUCCUUUUUCUUAACAAAUAGGACUGGUGCUCCCCAAGGUACACUAGGGCGUAUGAACCCCUUCUCAAGCAACUCCUCAAGUUGCUUCUUCAGCUCUGUCAUCUGAGCUGGUGCCAUUCUAUAUGGACUUUUAGAUAAUGGGGCCGUUCCAGGUUCCAAUUCAAUGAUGAAUGGGUCAGCUCUAUCAGGGGGAAUGCCCUGUAGUGCCCCAAACACAUCCUGAAAUUCCCGAACCAACGGUAUACCCUCUGGGUCACAGGCCCCUACAACCUCAUCAGUGUAAAUGGUAGCCAAAAAGGCCUCACAACCAUUUCUAAGCAUCCGUUCUACUUGGACUGCUGAAACCACCAACUACAAGAGGUUGGCUUGAUUCCUUGGUACUUAAUCGGGGUCCAAACUCGUUCUCAAGUUGCACCCUUCCCCGGUGACAAUCUAGAGUUGCCCGAUACUUUCCCAACCAGUCCAUGCCCAAGAUCACUUCAUGAUGCUUGAGGGGGACAACAAUCAGAUCUAUAGGCAUCGGCCUAUCCAGGAUCACCACAGGGAUGUCCUUAACCAGACCGAGUGAGUUCAUAACUUGCCCUCCGGCCGCACUCACUCGUUCAGGACCAUCCCAUGUUCCAUACUGGAACAAACCUUUUCCAACCACUCCUGGACUCACAACACUAUGUGUAGCUCCAGUAUCAAAUAAUGUGUUUCCACACCACCGAUCAUUAAGUACUUAGAUGAGUAGGAUCUUGGUUUGAUCACACAUUUGGAAAAUGUCCCAUACCAUUCUCCAAAGCAUCACACAUCUGUGAAUGUCCCAUACCAUUCACAAAAGUGUUGAUAGUAUACUUCAAUCCUCAUCAUACUAAGAUACUUAACAUCGUGUUUCUAAUUCCUCAUGGAAUUGAUCCAUUACAUUCACUCAAUCUUAAGGAAUCCUACCUUGACUUACACUGAGUCCAAGCUGAUCCAUCUGAUCACAAGCCCACUCAUGUACUAGCCAUGUAGCGUCUCCCUUAGACUAACAUGAACAUUGCAUAUGCUCACUUAUUUUGAACGGCCACCAAGGGAUAACAUUUACCUCCAAGAGAGUGCUGCACGUUUCUUUCAACCUAAGCCACUCUCUGGUCCAUGUUACUUCCCUUGUCCAGGUCGUCCAUACAAAGAUCUUGCAUUGCGUCCAUCAUCCAAAUAACUAGAAAACUAACCUUUCUAUUUCAGGGUCUUGCCCUUGGAGAGUGCAUCUUGGCUAAGCCGGCUCAUCUUGGAACUUCCCCGUUCACAAGCAUGAAACCCAAUCUUACCUCAACUCCCACUUGGCUCACCACAGCUAAGGUUCCAAGUCCUCUCAGUUUUCAAAAAUAAUUUCGGUUUGGAACCUAACAUCUUUGAGCACUGUCCUCAACAGGAUCAAGCAUGCUCUGAUACCAACUUGUAAGACCCGAUCCCGGCCAACUAGGCCGCGGUCGAUGCCUCACGUCGCUCAGUCCAUACCCGGACCGAACCUCUAAAAAUUUUGCCCUUUAUUUAAAAUAUCGCCCAUUGGCGAGGGCUAACUCAGAUCCUAGCUCAAGACUACCUUAGUCAUUCCCUAGCUAGAUCCUUUCAACUUAUGCACAGCGGAAUAGUAUCUACUUAACCAUUGGUCUAAACCAAUCUAACACUUGUCUGGUCAGAUCACCUCAGCUACUGGUCAGUAAACACAACUGCCAGCUAGCUCCAAGGUCGAUCCUGAACCUAGACCAAGUCAUACAAUCAGAGGUUCUGUUCCCCUAAGCCAUUCUAUCUAGAUCUAUGCAACAUUGACAGAUCAUACCUUUGCCACAUUCCCGGAGCUUGUUAGCUCAUUGGCCCAGCUACGCUAGCUGAAGGAACUCGUAAACCAGCUGAUCGAGCUGUCACACUCGAACUGAGCUAGGACCGAGCUAUGGCCAGCUGCCAUAUACUGCGUCCCGCUCCUUUACACACACAAAACAACUCCCUUAGGUACUUAGUCAUUCAGCCAACCAUCCCCACAGACAUAAGUAACCCUUGAGAAGUAUUCAAACAGCUAAGGACAUGCAUCUGGCCCUUACCGGCUCAUGCACUGUCUCGCAUCCUUUUUGCCUUAUCAACUUAUGAUACCAAGUCCAGCUCAUGGACUAACAAUGCCCAUCAGAUCCUGAGUCAAUCAACCAACCACCCCACAUGACUCAGAACUGAUGAGUCUUCAUACUUCCUAAUCAGUCAUGGAACCAUGUUCCACUGAACCUGAUUAGUGUUGCUCUUACCACCGGUGCAUCCUUUGAUCAAUCAGAUCAGACACCUUGAUCCAUCAUCCAAGGAUCAGGUCGUCCAUCCUUGCCCAUGAUCAGAUCACACACGGCCUGCCUUACCAACACCAAGGUUGAUAACCAGCAAUUCCUUAUGAUCAAUAUCAUAAGUGACAAUAUGUUCCAGCACACAAACAUAUGAUCAGAUAUCCUAACACAAGGAUCUGACCCCAAUAUGCCCUCAGGUGCAAUUUCGACCGCAAGCAAACCUGCUCCAAAAAUCAAUUAAAAUUCAUGACAAUUCAUGAUAAAUCAUAACUAAGAGAAUGGUCCAAUCAGAUUUCCCAGAACCGGCCUCCAUCCCAUAGAUCUCGGCCAAGAUCAGCCAAACCGGCCCAAGGGACCAUCUCUAAAUCAAUCCCUAAAAACUCAUUAGGAUUCAUGAUAAUUCAUGAUAAAUCUUAACUAAGAGAAUGGUAAAGUCAGAAUUCCAAGAACCGAUCUCGAUCCUAUGGAUCUCGACCUAGAACAGCCCCACCGGCCACAUUGACCAUCUCGAAAUCAAUCAGAUAAAAAUCCCCAAAUACCAUGAUAAUUCAUGAUAAUUCACCACUAAGAGGAUUCCAAAGUCAGAUCGCCAUAAAUCCAUCAGGAAGUAGGAGAUCCGGACUUAGCUGCCAAACCAAGGCCAUGGAGGGUUCUUCUGAACCGGCCAAGCCAUGGUUCAGUGCUACUAUGUCUAAUCAUCAAUCUCAAUCAUAAGAAGAAGAAAUAAUAUGAUUAAUAAUCAUAAAACAGAGUAAGGUGUAACUGAAGGACCAGAUCAGCCUAUAGUGUACCAGACUAUGUCCAAUGGUCUGCAGUCCCCACCUGUUACCUCAUCAGGGGCGUCCAUGCUCUUCCUAGCACGCCUUCAUCAAACCCUUUUGUUGUAGUACCCACGACUGAGGUUCUCAUUAUCCGCAAUGGCCCUACCAUAAGGUCCGGUUCAAGAGUUAUAAGAGAUGGAUUUGCCAAAGCUGUCCAGGAGCUGCUUGCACAGGAACAAACCGGGUUCAAGCAACUAUUGAUCCAGGAGUUGUCUGACUUGAAGCUUGAAGACACCGGUGAACCACUAGAGGUUCCAGACCCUGUCCAUUCGAGCCAGUUCUCCUCCAUCGGCCAGAAUGAAGCCGGCCUGACCAUUUCCACCUUCAUACUCAAUCCAUCCAACCAACUUGCUUCCGGUUCAGAGAUAUAGCCGACCAUCAGAAGGAGUAGUAUGUGUUGUACUCUUUUUCCUUAUCGAGGUUUUGUCCCACUGGGUUUUCCCGAAAGGUUUUAAUGAGGCAACAAGCAAGCAUACUAUGAGUUCUGAUCCGGACAUCUCAAACCGCGACCGGUCUAUUGUUUUCUUUAUUUUUAUUUCGGUUAAGACCUUGGCCAUUUGUCUAGGCCCUUUUUUAUCUUUAAGUCCAGUAAGGAACAUCUAUUUAAACCCUUGUAGUUGCCAACUUUUCGGCUAAGUCUUUUAUGAAAUCGUUUUUGCUUUAGCAAAGAAACCCUAAGUCUUUCAGUUGUGUGAAACAUUGAGAGCAGCCGUGUGACAUAUCAAAGAGCCGAUCCAUUGUUCUUUGUGGCGUCCUUCGAUCCAUUCCAUUCCUUGUCCGAAUCUUGAGAGAGACACACGUCCAACAAGAGCCGGAUCCAUAUCUAUCUUCUUAACCGCCCUAGGCAUCUUGCUGAGAGAGACAUACGUCCAGCAGCAGAUCCCAUCCGCCAAUCUCCUCUCUUCUCUAUCUUUUGUUUUAGAUUUCAUUCAACCAAUUCCAUAAACAAAACCAAAAGAAUCAUAACUUGUUUCUGUUCUACAUCCUGUUGAAAACUCACUAAAAGUUCCUAUCUGUUUCAGGUUCGAUCACAAGCAAGAGACGAGCCGGCCAGUACCAUCCGUCCGAGGCAAGACUGAACCGCGGAACGGCCAUCCGUCCGUCCGUCCGUCCGUCCGUCCGUCCGACCCUCCGACCCGUGCCUACAACAUUUUGGUAUCAGAGCUGAAGUUUCCUGCGAAACUCAGUUCUUUCUGAACCCUAGCCGUCACCAUUCAAAAAAAAAAAUAUUUACUUUCCUUAUUUUUUUAAAAAAAUUUUCGGAAUUGUUCUCCAAGUUUUUGAUCUUCCAUUUAAAAAAAAAAAAAAUUAAUUACUUUCCUUAUUUUUAAAUUUUCGGAUUGUUUUCCAAGUUUUCAAAAAAAAAAAAAAAAAUUCCCUUUCCUUUUUCAAACCUGAUUCGAUUUUGCCUUAACUUUUUUUGCAUUUACUCUUAGCCUUGGUCGAUACUCAAAGUAUCCGACCCAAGCAACUAUUUAACCCCCCCUCUUGCCUUUUAAUCUUUCUUUGAGUUUCUUCUCAGAGAACUAUGGGAGAUGUAGGUCAAGACCAAGCGGCCAUAAACGCUCAGCUCCUAGCUGACAAUGAGGAACUGAGGGCGAGCCUUAGGACUAUCACAGCCGAGCUUGCUCAGAUACGGCAGGGAGGCAGGCCCAACGGACCUCGACCACCAGGAAGGCAUCAGCCGGACCCGCAUGACACUGACUCGGACGCGGACAGUACCGAUGAUACGCGCAGUCAGGACGAGGAGAGGCCGAACCGGGGAGGUAGGAGGAACGCGCGAGGACCCCGGGCCCAAGUAGGAGGAGGCCGCGACCAUAGGGGAGGUCGAGACCGAGAGGAGGAAAAGCCUUGGUUGGGAGGCAAGGCGCUUAAGCUUCAUCCCCCAACGUUUGCCGGCAAGGUUGAUCCGGAUGCCUACAUCGUGUGGGAGAAGCGCAUGGAGUACAUCUUCGACUAUUAUCAAUAUAGUGAGGCCAAGAAGGUUGCCCUAGCAGCAGCCCAGCUGACGGACAAUGCUCUUUCGUGGUGGGAUCGAGACGUUGCUAAGUCCGGGCCAGUGUGGAGAGCGCGUAAUUGGACCGAGAUGCGGACUAAGCUUCGCGCGAGGUACAUUCCAUCUUACUACCAGCGUGAUGUGCUAAAACGUUUUCGUAAACUUACGCAGGGAACUAAGACUGUGGAGGAGUACUUUGAGGAGUUCGAGGCACUUAGGAAUAAGCUUGAGACCGACGAGCCCGAGGAGACAAUGAUGUCCCAAUUCCUGGAAGGGCUGCAAGACCGCAUUGCCCGCAAGGUGGAGAGACAACACUAUGAAGACUUCAACGAUCUAUUGCACUUUGCUACGCAAGCCGAGCAGCACAUCAAGCGCAAGACGGCCAGUACCAGCCGCAGCAAACCUGCUUGGACGCAACCGGGUUCAAAGCAUGGCGACAAGGGCAAGACGAUUGAGAUUGAGAGCCGAUUCAAGACAAACCAGGCUGAAUCGUCUAAUGCAUCUAAGCCGGAGCAGGGUAAGACUCAAGCCCAAAAUUUGCGUACUCGUGACAUCAUUUGUUAUAAGUGUCAGGGCAAAGGCCACUACGCUCGGGAUUGUCCAAACAAACGAGUGAUGGUCCUAAAGGGGGAUGGCGAGUAUGAAUCCCAAGAUGAGGCAGAGGCCGCGGCCGCGAUCUCUGAUGAAGAAGUAACCGACUACCCGGAGACAGGCGAGCUGCUAGUGACCCGGAGAGCUCUUAGCACCCUCUUUGACCCAGAGACCAUCCAGCGGGAGAACAUCUUCCACACCAGAUGUAGUGUUGAUCACAAGGUAUGUAGUUUGAUCAUAGAUGGCGGAUCUUGUACUAACGUGGCUAGCAAGUAUCUUGUUGAUAAGCUAGGGUUGGUCAAAACUGCCCAUCCUCGACCAUACCGUCUCAAAUGGCUCAAUGAUGAGACUGAGCUCAAGAUUGCCGAACAAGUUGUUGUGUCCUUCAGUAUUGGCAAGUACCAAGACCAGGUCAAGUGUGAUGUUGUGCCCAUGCAAGCCGGCCAUAUACUUCUCGGAAGGCCGUGGCAGUUUGACAAGGAGACACUUCACCAUGGCCGCACCAACAUCUACAGUUUCGUCCACAACAACAAGAAGCACAGCCUAGCACCUCUCAGCCCUCAAGAAGUUCAUGAUAUGCAGAAGGCAAUGACGCAGUCCGGCCAGGUAAGUAACACUAACCUUUACAUGACUUCCGGACAAGUGCUUAAAUCAUUACAACGUGAGACACAGGUGCUACUAAUGAUCUUUAAGGAAGGUUGUUUUGCAGGUUUAGAAGCUCCUGAAGUACCGGACGUAGUAGAAGACCUCAUGGGACGUUACAAGGAUGUCUUCCCUGACGAGAUCCCUGCCGGCUUACCCCCUAUCCGUGGCAUAGAACAUCAGAUCGAUCUUGUACCCGGCGCGCCACUACCAAACCGAGCCGCUUACCGUGUCAACCCUGAGGAAGCUAAGGAGCUGGAACGGCAGGUCCAAGAUCUCAUGGACAAAGGCUACAUCCGCGAGAGCCUUAGCCCCUGUGCAGUCCCGGUCCUACUAGUGCCUAAUAAAGAUGGGACAUGGCGCAUGUGUGUGGACUGCCGAGCCAUCAACAACAUAACCAUCAAAUAUCGGUACCCUAUACCUAGAUUAGAUGAUAUGCUGGAUGAACUGAGUGGGUCUGUUGUGUUUUCUAAGAUUGAUCUCAGGAGUGGAUACCAUCAAGUCCGCAUGAAGGAAGGAGAUGAGUGGAAAACCGCCUUCAAGACCAAGCAAGGUCUAUACGAGUGGCUGGUGAUGCCGUUUGGCCUUACCAACGCCCCUAGCACCUUCAUGAGACUCAUGAAUGAGGUCCUCCGACCUUACAUUGGUAAAUUUGUGGUUGUAUACUUUGAUGAUAUCUUGAUUUACAGCAGGUCUUUAACUGAACACAUGGGACACCUAGAACAGGUUUUGAAAGCCUUAAGGCAAGAAGGCCUUUAUGCUAACCUUAAGAAAUGUGUAUUCUGCACUGAUCAGUUGGUAUUUUUAGGCUUUGUUGUGAGUUCACAGGGACUGAAGGUUGAUGAGGAGAAGAUCAAGGCCAUACAAGACUGGCCGACCCCAACCACGAUCGGACAUAUCCGCAGCUUCCAUGGACUAGCCAGUUUCUACCGACGAUUUGUGAAGGACUUCAGUACCAUUGCCGCCCCAAUGACCUCCGUGAUCAAGAAGAAUGUAACCUUUGCUUGGGGUCCUGCCCAAGAGGAGUCUUUCAACAGGCUUAAAUAUAGUUUGACACAUGCACCGGUUCUAACUCUUCCUAACUUUGAUAAACCUUUUGAGAUUGAGUGUGAUGCUUCAGGGACAGGGAUAGGGGCCGUACUGACCCAAGGAGGCCGGCCAGUGGCUUUCUUCAGUGAGAAAUUGAGUGGAGCCGCCCUCAAUUACCCCACCUAUGAUAAAGAGCUAUAUGCUCUAGUAAGGUCGCUCGAAACUUGGCAACAUUAUCUUUUGUCUAAUGAGUUUAUUAUUCAUACAGAUCAUGAGACUCUUAAGCAUUUGAGGGGCCAGACCACACUCAAGAAGAGGCAUGCCAGGUGGCUGGAGUUCGUGGAAACUUUUCCUUAUGUGAUCAAGUACAAGAAGGGAAAGGACAACGUAGUGGCCGACGCCCUAUCCCGGCGCCACACACUCAUUACCACCAUAGAGGCUAAGAUCAUGGGUUUUGAGCAACUCAAAAUGUCUUAUGAAACUGACCCUGAUUUUUCUGAGCUUUACAGUAACACGGGUCCAUUCUAUCAGCAGGACGGGUUCCUCUUCAAGGAAAAACGCCUGUGUAUCCCUCAUGGUUCCAUGCGAGAUUUACUGACCAGAGAAGCUCAUGGGGGUGGAUUGAUGGGGCAUUUCGGUCGGGACAAAACUCUGAGCGUCCUGUCCGACCACUUCUAUUGGCCCCGGAUGAGGCGCUACGUCGAGAGCCUUUGCGCCAAGUGCACUGUCUGUCUCAAAACCAAAUCCAGGUCGCAUCCUUAUGGUUUACACAUGCCUUUACCUAUUCCUAUUGCACCGUGGGUCGAUCUGUCUAUGGACUUUGUGCUGGGCUUGCCCAAGAUAGAACACAAGGAUUCUAUUUUUGUUGUAGUGGACAGGUUCUCCAAGAUGGCACACUUCAUUCCGUGUUCCAAGACCAAUGAUGCAAGCCAAACCGCUGAUCUCUUCUUCAAGGAAGUGGUGCGUUUACAUGGAGUGCCUCGUACCAUUGUGUCCGACCGAGACACAAAAUUUCUCAGCCACUUCUGGAGGACAUUAUGGAAAAAGCUUGGAACCAAGCUCCUUUUCUCGACCACUUGCCAUCCACAGACUGAUGGACAGACCGAGGUAGUAAAUGAUAUCUUGCAUAUUUGCAUUGUUUUAUCCAUUCAUCCAUGAGCAUUUUCAUCAUGUAGAUUAGGAUUUAGCCAUGUCUAGGUUGCAUUUUGCAUUCAUUGUCCUUAUUAGGUGUUGGAGUGCCACAUGGAGUUCUUGGGGACAUUUGGAUGCAUUUGGAGCUUAAAGGACGUGAAAUAGGUGAUCAUUGGACGAGCAGAGCAUGGGAGCGAGGUUCCGCAGCGACGUCAUGAGCUCGCUCCAAAGAACCCCCCAGAGCGACUUGCCCAGAGCGACGCCCCGAGGUCGCUCGCAUCUCACACCCCUCUCGGAGCGACCUCCCAAAGCGACACCCCGAGGUCACUCGCGUCUCUAUGGCGAGACGACACGAAGCGAAGCCUGGAGCGACCUCUCAGAGCGACCUACCAAGGUCGCUCCCGAUCCAGAGCGACGCGUUGGAGCGACACACCAAAGUCGCUCGCGACCUCUCGCCCGGAGACACCAAAAAUCGGCCCUGGAGCGACUUCCCGGAGCGACACCUGCAAGUCGCUCCGCGUUAUUUUGCUGCCGAAAAUCAUGAUUUCUCAGGGACCUUUUUGCAAUUUAUUUUGGACGUUUUGCACUUGGAAAACCUAUGUUUUAAACAUCUUUUGUAGCCACCAGGCAGAUUAUCUUUGGAUCUAUUGAGAAAGACACAAGAACUCUCUGGAGAAGUUCAUCUUUUGGAUUUUGAUUGUUAUGUUCUUGUGUUCUUGUUGAUUUCUUAUCUAUUUCUUUACAUGAUUAAUCUGAAAUCCAAUAUGGGUUUAAGAGGAAUCAUGGAGAUUAGUGAGUAAUCACCUUUUGAAUUCAUGGGUUAGGGAGAUUAAGGGUGAUUAGGUUAGAGCUAGGAUGUUUUAGUGUAGAUCAUUCAUAUUUCCUUGCUAGUAGAGUAAUCAUAAUGCAUCUUCUGAGUUGGCCACUCAGUUGUUGAUCCUUAGGCAUUUCUCACCCGAAAGGUGUUCGAUGAAAUGCCCGAGACAACUCUCCUAGGCUUUUAGUAUACUUUGCCAAAGACAUUUGUUGUUAAAGAUGCUAAGAUAGCUAAUAGACUUGUUAGUAAUGAUUGCUUUCAUAUUAUUCAACCAAAGACAUUUGAUGUUUGAGAUAUGUUAGCAAAUGAGCAUUCAUCUAGACAUAGAGCUUGCUUAGAAUUGUGUCUAGGCUUAAGGUUGAUAGUUUGAUUGAUCAUUUGCCAUCCUUAGUUCGAUACUUGAUCACCCAAGGUCUAAUCCCUAUGCCCAUGAGUUCUCUUUUCCCUUAGUCAAGAAAGUAUCAUUCUGUUAUUGCUUUCUAGUUUAGUAGUAGUUUAAAACCCAUCUAAAUCAUUGGUUGCACUUAGAUUAAGUGAGUACUUGCAUUCUCAGUGCUUUGAUAUCCCUCAGAACUGGUUCGACAAUCUUUUAUACUACAACAUUUGUCUUAGGAGCCUUGAAAACUCCUAACAUCAAAUUGGCGCCGUUGCCAAAUUCUGAGUCGAUUUGAACAUUGAGAUUUAGUCAAUUGCUUGAGACUAAGUCAUUUUUAUUUUCUUUUGUUACUAACUCUUCUUCACCUCCCUUUAAUCUACAGGUGUAUGAACUUGAGGAGCAAGGGUCCAUCAAACCUAGUUCCAAGAGCAGCAGACAUCAGAGCUUUAGAGAGAGAGUGUGCUAGAAAGAGAAGAGAAGAAGACCAUCAGGCUCAAUUGCAGAGACUGAACACUGACAUGGGAGACGUUCAUCAAGAAGAUGCAGGCGUCAAUGGCGCUAACAACAAUGGUCCACCUAACCAACAGCGAGCAGCUCGCCCCAUUGGCACUUACGACCGUCCCAACAUUCAUGGUCAUAGAUUGGGAAUCCGAGCACCCGCCGUGGCAGCCAACAACUUUGAGAUCAAGUCAGGACUCCUCAACGUGAUCGAGAACAACAAGUAUCAUGGCUUGGCUCUCGAGGAUCCAUUUGAUCACUUGGACAGGUUCGACAGCUACUGUGGGUUGUCAAAAACCAAUGGUGUGUCCGAAGAUGCUUUAAAGCUCAAGCUAUUCCCUUUCUCUUUGGGGGAUAAGGCACGUCAGUGGGAGAAGUCUCUACCCAGCGACUCCAUUACCACUUGGGAUGACUGCAAGAAAGCAUUCUUGGAGAAGUUCUUCUCUACUUCAAGAACUGCUAAGCUGAGAAACGAGAUCUCCAGCUUUCAACAGAAGGGCUUGGAAGGUUUCAGUGAAGCCUGGGAGAGAUUCAAGGGCUAUCAAGCUCAAUGCCCACACCAUGGUUUCUCUAAGGAGAGUUUGCUGAGCACAUUCUACCGUGGUGCUCUACCUAAGUACAGAGCCAGACUGGAUACAGCUAGUAAUGGGUUCUUCUUGGGGCGAACUGAGGAGGAUGCAGAGGAGCUGGUUGACAACAUGGUUAAGAGUGAUGCAGUCUACAGUGGAGACCACGACAGAAGCAGUAGAACUGAGGAUAAGCAAACGAGGAAGGAGUUGAAAGCUCUACAGGAUAAGAUAGACAUCCUCCUUGCUGAUAAAGCUACCCAAGAGCAGCUGCACUUUGUUGGCAACCCAAGCCAAGAGACACCAGCUGUUGUCCAUGAAGUUGAGGGUUUGGAAGGUCAGGAAGAGCUGUGUUUCAUCAACAACAAUGGUAGCUGGUACAAGAAAGAACCCAACUUUCAGUACAACAACUACCAACAGAAGUCCUAUUCCAACAACCAGCAGAGUGGUUAUCAGCCUCGGAACAAUCAGCAAGGCAGCUAUCAGCCUCAGCAAAAUCCCUCGUCUGGUUCCUCUGCUCCUCAAGAGAGCAGCACUGAUACCUUACUGAAACAAAUCUUGGAGUCUCAGACUAGAAGUGAGAAGCAUGUUGGUUAUGAGUUGAAGAACCUUCAUACCAAGAUUGAUGGGAGCUACAAUGAGCUCAACAACAAAUUCUCACACCUUGCUUCUACAGUCAGGAAUUUAGAGAAUCAGUUUGCUUCCAUGAACACUCACCAGAAUCGCCAGCAAGGAUCUCUACCUGGAAAGUCUGACCAAAACCCCAAGGAGGCCAAAGCUAUCACCCUUAGGAGUGGUAAACAGUUGCCUCCUAGAACCCUCACCAAGGAUGCUGAGAAACUAGGUGAGGGGGUUGCCAUCAACAUAGAUGAUGAAGUGGUGAUUGUUGAUGAGAAGAUCAAUGACGAGAUCUUGGAGAAGAUAGUGGAAGCCAAAGGUAAAGGAAAGGUUGGGGAAGAGAAGAAGACAGUAAAAGAUGGUGAAGUUGUAACUCCAGCAAGUGAAAGUUCUUUUGUUCCUCCUCCCUAUGAACCCAAACUUCCAUUCCCUGGUAGAUUCAAGAAGCAGCUGCUAGAGAAGUACAAGGCUCUGUUUGAGAAGCAAAUGAGUGAAGCUCAGGUUGCAAUGCCCAUCAUCGAUGCUUUCAUGUUGAUUCCUCAAUACAACAAUUUCCUGAAAGAUGUUGUAGCUGCAAAGAAGAAGGAGAUGGACGGCAUGAUGACUCUUACCCAUGAGUGCAAUGCCAUCAUCCAGAGGCUUGAUGUUCCAGAGAAAUUAGAGGAUCCAGGAAGCUUCACACUACCUUGUGCUCUUGGACCUAUGGUAUUUGAGAAAAGUCUCUGCGAUUUGGGAGCUAGUGUCAGCUUGAUGCCUUUGUCUGUUGCAAAGAAGCUUGGAUUCACUCAGUACAAGAAGUGUAGACUCUCUUUGGUGUUAGCUGAUCGUUCAGUGAAGUACCCUGUGGGCAUCUUAGAGGACCUCCCUGUGAAGAUUGGAAGGUAUGAGAUACCUACAGAUUUUGUGGUGCUUGAGAUGGGUGAGGAGGCUCAAGACCCAUUGAUUCUAGGAAGGCCAUUCUUAGCUACAGCAGGAGCUAUUGUUAAUGUGAAGGAAGGCACGAUUGAUCUCCAUUUGGGUAAAGAGAACAUCCUCCACUUUGACAUUAAGGAGAAAAUGAGGAAACCAACUGUGUUCGGGCAAGCCUUCUACAUUGAAGAGAUGGCCACUCCUGCUGAUGAGCAUCUUGAAGAGUUACCACCUGAGGACGACGAGGAGGGAGCAUCUCCCUCUACUCAUUCCCUAUAGAAGGUAAACCACCACACUCCCUUGUAUAUACCAUCUCAUUUUUUGCAUAUUAGUCUUCUUUUCGGUAUCUCUCUCUACUUGACAACACAGAGACUGUGUAACUCAAGUUUGGGGGAGGUACCAAGUAUUUGAUCAUGUUUGCUUUGAUGUUGUUUCAUUGAGUCAUGCAUUGCAUACCUAUUUGCAUAUUAAAAAAAAAAAAAAAAACAAUCAUUUAGUUUGCAUCAUUUGCAUUUCUAGGAGAGUCUAGAGCAUAUAGGUUGCAUUCACUUGCAUUGGGAGCAAUGAUUUUAAAUGCCUUGUAAAGAACACUACGUUGCACCUGAGUAGCUUUUGCACCUCUCAAAAAGACUUGUAUGUUUCGAGCCUUGAAAACUCUUCCUGAAACUUGUUGAUUGAUGAAACUCAGUCUUUGAAGCCAACUACAAUCUUAUUUGAACUGAACGAACUUAAUGUUUCUUGCUCAUGGUCCCUUGUGUACUGAGUCAUGGCUAUACACACUUGAGUUGUCACAUCUUUUAUGCCGAUCUUUUUUGACAAACUCUAGUGGUAGACCACUCCCAAAACCUUUUCCUCCUUUUAAGCUUUCAUUGUUUGAUGAGUGAGGCCUUUUUCGGAAAGUCUUACAUGUGCAUAAUGUUGAGAGUAUCGGGAACGACAAUGCUUGAUCUUCAUUCUUGCUAGAUUGGGCACUCUAUUGUCUAGCUAUAGGUGGGGGGUGAGUGUUGUGAUUAUGAUUUGGGAUAAAUGAAAAAGAAAAAGAUUAGACUCUUUGUGCUUAAGUGAAUUGUUUUGUUGGGAUAAGUAGAGGAGCAUCUAGCUCAAGUUUUGAAAAGUCUUGGCCCCCAGCCUAAAAAAAAAAAAAAAAUAAAGGCAAAAGAAAAACGAAAAAAAAAGAGAAAAGAAAAAAAAAAAAGAAAAAGAAAAGAAAAAGGGGGCUAGCAAAGUUGUUAAGAGCUAAGAAAUGUUUUGAGGUUGUGAAAAAUCCCUUGUAGAUUUCAAAGAGAAAGAGUUGAUGUUCUUAGGAUCUUUUGGUGAGAGAUGUGAGUUGGGUUUGACAUUUGAGAAUAAUUGUGUAAUUGUACGUUUGGGAAAAGGGUAGAACAAUGGAGAUUGAGCAUUGUAUGCAUGAGUUGAUCCCUUUCUUAGAUAUAUUAUGUGCAAUGUCAAGGCUACUUGUUUCGAGAGUAAACCACCUUAAAGAUCAUAUGUUUUGAAUCUCUUGAAUCACUUGAAUAAAAGCAUUUCCUUAUCCAACCAAAUGACUUGGACCAACUGACCAUUUGCAAGAAUUCACCUGAUGUUUUGUGCUUAAUGAAUGUGAGAGUUGGUUGAUUUGAAUGUGUGGAUGCUUGAUGAUGAGUGUAAGAACAAAAAGAGUUAAGAUAGGCCUAGAGAAGCUAGAGUGUAAUAAGAGAGGGUGCUAGUUGUGUUUCUUUUGGCUAUGUGCUCCCACCUUCAACCUCUCUCCCUAGAGUUCUAGAAAGUUCACUUGUGGACAAGUAAAAGAACAAGUUUGGGGGAGUUGAUAUCUUGCAUAUUUGCAUUGUUUUAUCCAUUCAUCCAUGAGCAUUUUCAUCAUGUAGAUUAGGAUUUAGCCAUGUCUAGGUUGCAUUUUGCAUUCAUUGUCCUUAUUAGGUGUUGGAGUGCCACAUGGAGUUCUUGGGGACAUUUGGAUGCAUUUGGAGCUUAAAGGACGUGAAAUAGGUGAUCAUUGGACGAGCAGAGCAUGGGAGCGAGGUUCCGCAGCGACGUCAUGAGCUCGCUCCAAAGAACCCCCCAGAGCGACUUGCCCAGAGCGACGCCCCGAGGUCGCUCGCAUCUCACACCCCUCUCGGAGCGACCUCCCAAAGCGACACCCCGAGGUCACUCGCGUCUCUAUGGCGAGACGACACGAAGCGAAGCCUGGAGCGACCUCUCAGAGCGACCUACCAAGGUCGCUCCCGAUCCAGAGCGACGCGUUGGAGCGACACACCAAAGUCGCUCGCGACCUCUCGCCCGGAGACACCAAAAAUCGGCCCUGGAGCGACUUCCCGGAGCGACACCUGCAAGUCGCUCCGCGUUAUUUUGCUGCCGAAAAUCAUGAUUUCUCAGGGACCUUUUUGCAAUUUAUUUUGGACGUUUUGCACUUGGAAAACCUAUGUUUUAAACAUCUUUUGUAGCCACCAGGCAGAUUAUCUUUGGAUCUAUUGAGAAAGACACAAGAACUCUCUGGAGAAGUUCAUCUUUUGGAUUUUGAUUGUUAUGUUCUUGUGUUCUUGUUGAUUUCUUAUCUAUUUCUUUACAUGAUUAAUCUGAAAUCCAAUAUGGGUUUAAGAGGAAUCAUGGAGAUUAGUGAGUAAUCACCUUUUGAAUUCAUGGGUUAGGGAGAUUAAGGGUGAUUAGGUUAGAGCUAGGAUGUUUUAGUGUAGAUCAUUCAUAUUUCCUUGCUAGUAGAGUAAUCAUAAUGCAUCUUCUGAGUUGGCCACUCAGUUGUUGAUCCUUAGGCAUUUCUCACCCGAAAGGUGUUCGAUGAAAUGCCCGAGACAACUCUCCUAGGCUUUUAGUAUACUUUGCCAAAGACAUUUGUUGUUAAAGAUGCUAAGAUAGCUAAUAGACUUGUUAGUAAUGAUUGCUUUCAUAUUAUUCAACCAAAGACAUUUGAUGUUUGAGAUAUGUUAGCAAAUGAGCAUUCAUCUAGACAUAGAGCUUGCUUAGAAUUGUGUCUAGGCUUAAGGUUGAUAGUUUGAUUGAUCAUUUGCCAUCCUUAGUUCGAUACUUGAUCACCCAAGGUCUAAUCCCUAUGCCCAUGAGUUCUCUUUUCCCUUAGUCAAGAAAGUAUCAUUCUGUUAUUGCUUUCUAGUUUAGUAGUAGUUUAAAACCCAUCUAAAUCAUUGGUUGCACUUAGAUUAAGUGAGUACUUGCAUUCUCAGUGCUUUGAUAUCCCUCAGAACUGGUUCGACAAUCUUUUAUACUACAACAUUUGUCUUAGGAGCCUUGAAAACUCCUAACAUCAGUAAACCGUACACUCUCUCAGUUAUUGAGGGCUACGGUGGGUAAGAAUCUUAAAAACUGGUUGAGUUGUUUGCCUUUCAUUGAGUUUGCCUAUAACCAUGCAAGGCACUCUAUUACUAACCUCUCCCCUUUUGAGAUCGUGUAUGGCUUUAGACCAGAGACGCCCAUGGACCUAGCCGCAUUGCCACCAGCCAUGCAAGUCAGCCAGAGUGGUGACAAAAAGGCUGAGUUUGUGAAGAACAUGCACCGGCAAGUCAAGGAGACUUUGGAGAAGAAGGCUGAAAGGAACCGGAUUAAGCUCAACAAGGGGCGCACAGAAGUUAUCUUCCAGCCAGGCGAUUGGGUGUGGCUCCACAUGAGGCCAGAACGGUUUCCGGAAGAGAGGAAGAGCAAAUUAUCCCCACGAGGGGACGGACCAUUCCGAGUGCUCGAUCGGAUCAAUGACAAUGCCUACCGGCUAGAACUGCCAGGUGAGUUCCAAGUUUCCCGAAUGUUCAAUGUGUCUGACUUGUCUCCUUAUAUUGCAGAUGACGGAGAUGUUCUGAGGACAGAACCUGUUCAAGAGGGAGGGGAUGUUGUAGUACCCACGACUGAGGUUCCCAUUAUCCGCAAAGGCCCUACCACAAGGUCCGGUUCAAGAGUUAUAAGAGCUGGAUUUGCCAAAGCUGUCCAGGAGCUGCUUGCACAGGAACAAACCGGGUUCAAGCAACUAUUGAUCCAGGAGUUGUCUGACUUGAAGCUUGAAGACACCAGUGAACCACUAGAGGUUCCAGACCCUGUCCAUUCGAGCCAGUUCUCCUCCAUCGGCCAGAAUGAAGCCGGCCUGACCAUUUCCACCUUCAUACUCAAUCCAUCCAACCAACUUGCUUCCGGUUCAGAGAUAUAGCCAACCAUCAGAAGGAGUAGUAUGUGUUGUACUCUUUUUCCUUAUCGAGGUUUUGUCCCACUGGGUUUUCCCGAAAGGUUUUAAUGAGGCAACAAGCAAGCAUACUAUGAGUUCUGAUCCGGACAUCUCAAACCGCGACCGGUCUAUUGUUUUCUUUAUUUUUAUUUCGGUUAAGACCUUGGCCAUUUGUCUAGGCCCUUUUUUAUCUUUAAGUCCAGUAAGGAACAUCUAUUUAAACCCUUGUAGUUGCCAACUUUUCGGCUAAGUCUUUUAUGAAAUCGUUUUUGCUUUAGCAAAGAAACCCUAAGUCUUUCAGUUGUGUGAAACAUUGAGAGCAGCCGUGUGACAUAUCAAAGAGCCGAUCCAUUGUUCUUUGUGGCGUCCUUCGAUCCAUUCCAUUCCUUGUCCGAAUCUUGAGAGAGACACACGUCCAACAAGAGCCGGAUCCAUAUCUAUCUUCUUAACCGCCCUAGGCAUCUUGCUGAGAGAGACAUACGUCCAGCAGCAGAUCCCAUCCGCCAAUCUCCUCUCUUCUCUAUCUUUUGUUUUAGAUUUCAUUCAACCAAUUCCAUAAACAAAACCAAAAGAAUCAUAACUUGUUUCUGUUCUACAUCCUGUUGAAAACUCACUAAAAGUUCCUAUCUGUUUCAGGUUCGAUCACAAGCAAGAGACGAGCCGGCCAGUACCAUCCGUCCGAGGCAAGACUGAACCGCGGAACGGCCAUCCGUCCGUCCGUCCGUCCGUCCGUCCGACCCUCCGACCCGUGCCUACAACACCUUUUCACAUACUUCCAGUAUUGAUAAGAUCUAACCAUGGUUCGUGACCAUCACUCCUUCCAUGGAACUUCCAUGAAACCAGUUUCUACACUGCAUCCACCUUCAAGGCUAUUCAUGCCAUUGUGAGUGAAGUCCGGCCUUCUCCCUUCUCUCCUGGGUGUUUUCGUGUGUUCCCAAGAUGCAGAGGAAGCCUAGGACGUGUUCAUCAGUGGUGGAAACCUACCACAGGGUCGUUCAUAACUCCCCUUGCACUUCCAUGAAACUGCCUUUCUACACACAUCUGCCCUUAAGGCUGUCUUGGCCUUUAGGAAUGAAUUCCGGUCAUCUACCUUCUCUCCUCACCAUUUGCGUGUGUUCUCAGGCCCUGGAGGAUGCAUUGGGUGAUAACAUCACGGAUCAAAAGCCACCAGAAAGUCGUUCAUAACUUUCCACCUUGAUCUCUCCCAAAACUGCCUCUUUAUGGCCUUCACACCACCAUGGGUCUUGGAUUGGAAAUCCGACCAACUCUCUGUCUUUUCUCUGUGUUUCUUUGUGUUUCAGGGUGUAGGAGGAAGCCCUGGCGUGCCUGAAAAGGCACGGACUUGCCUUCCUUAUAUAGGAGAAGGGGUGGUUACUUCUUAACCAUUGCAUCCCUUCGGUAUUAUUUCUGGCCAUUGAUUUAAUCAAUGGUACAGAUUGCACCCUUUCGCCUAUGGCAGUUACCACACGCCCUGGAACUGCCAAACCACUCCUGGACAUGUCCAAAACUAUCCCAUACGGACUGCCCAUGCCCCUGGCUCAAUCCCAAGAGCCCACUAACCCAUCGGUACAGACGGGUCACCCACAUGUCGCGGCCACUGUCCAGACCCGCCCCAACUGCCCAACACCUGAACACUCAGUCCAGCUGAGUUGAGCUGAUCCCCAGCUGAUCCAGCUGAGUGAGCUAGACCAUCCAGCUCAGGGAGCUGACCUACACUUCAGUGAGCUACACCAAGCUGCACUACACUUCACCUAGCUGGUCGAGCUUGUUUACUGCAUCGCCCAGCUGUUAUACACUGUGUCCAGCUUGCUUCCUUUAUCUUCUUCAAUCCUUCUAAGUCCCUUGGUCAAUUUCCAGACCUAGACUUAGUUUUCCCAUGAUCCAUUCUGAUCACUCACUUCAUCGAGCUUCACCUGGAUCUUGUCCAGCUACCAGCUCGCUUGUCCAGCUCCUUUGAGCUUGUCUCCUUCUUGGAUUAGCUAUGCCUUAGCUUCCUGAUGCUCUUAACCUUACCUUCAGGCCAUGAUAUACUUGUCCUUAGGUCAUAUGACCUGACUGGUGCGUUUCCUCGCACCACAGUCCGUCCGGACGUUCCUAUCCAGGAUCAGGGACAUGACAAGAGAGCCCAAACCUCCCAUGUUUUGGUGAUCUCCGGUGACACAUAUACAGAUCCUUCAUCUCUUUCUCAAACUUCUGCUUCACCAUCAUCACCUGUUUCAUGAUUUGAAUAAUUUAAAAACUCAAGGCUCUCGCAACAAUAAAAGAAAAAGAAAAAAAAAAGAAUUUGGUAACUUCAUGCGCCAGACGAAAUAUGAUUACAAUACCUAAGCUCAUGCAGUCGCAUUGCCUCAUAGAUACUUCGCUCAACGAGUCACCAACAUCAGAUGAUUCAGAAAAGUCCCUAGUCGACGAACAUUCAGAUGAGCAUGACGUAUCUAUCUCUGAAAACCAUCUAUCUUCUGUUUUCUGGUCAUCAGACUCUGAACCACUCUGGUCCCUAAAAUCCCAAGAAAAUUUCAUCAAUUCACGUUCGGGAGGCUGGGAGUAAAUGAUAUGUGUCAUCAGGAAAAUCACCUGGCCAAGUCCAUUGCAACUGUUGAAGGAACUAGUAAACUCUCAUCCAGUGUGUAAUUACCGGAACUUUUCUCAAGUCUUUCGCCGUCACCAAAGGAAAUUGGCAAAGAUGUUGCUCCAGGAACCUAAAUUUCAAAUGUCAAUAGAAGAUAAACCUGAAAAAAUUCUUGCAGAAAUGAUAGCUUCGCAUGCAAAACUGACAGCUAGGAUGAGGCCUAACACUAACACUAAUGAGACGCUUCUACAAUGGUGUGUUUUUGAAAUAAUCUGAUAGAUUUAUAAUGUAGAGUAAAUAUUUGAUCUUGUUUGGAAUAUACAAUACUCAUGAUUUCCAGAACUAGAAUAGCAAUGAGAGAGCGUCAUCAGAAACAUAAACCAAAAAGACCAUAGCUUCGAAAAUAAUAUCAAGAUAAUGAUUGGUAAACAAAAAUCAAAAGAAGUACAAUACCUGCCCAAGGAACAGUUCAAACUUUCUUGAAAGGUCACAAAGUUUUUCUUGCAUUCUUCUGUAGUAAUCAUCUCUUUUCUGUAUCAUCACUUCUAUAUGCAAUUUUCUGAAAGUUAUUGGAGAUGGGUACACUAGACUAGAGGAAGAAUAAUGCGUCCAACAGGGAAGAAGAUCUGCAUAAUUUCUGAGUCCAGAUGCAGAAAGAUCGCACAAUUCAAGAAGUUUUGUAAUUACUUGUAGCUGUUGACCAGCCCUUAGUAUAGGUUCCAAGAAGCCAUCCAAGAAACAUGGAACAAGCCCUCCUUCUUGCUCCUAGAGUGCAGAAAUUGAAUCAAUCUGCUAUCAGUGGAUAAAUGAUACUAAAAUCAACGAUGCAGAAAAAGAGAACAAAGUAUUACCUGAAAGCUUGGUGAGAAAUAGGGUUUCUUUGUGAAGAAGAUAACUUUCUUAUUAGGGUUUUCAACUUAGGUUCAUCGAUUACAAUGGAGUAUAUUAUAUAGGGAAAGCAUGUACUCAUGUAGAGACAAAGGAGAGCACAGAUCAGCAUGUGACAGCACACAAUCCUAAGGUUUCAAAACAGUUUGAUAGCUGUAUUUCCUUAGCUGUAUGUCCCGUACGAAGACUACCUUUAGGCGUCACAUGAUCUGUGCUUUUGUUACCGUUGAAGAGUGAUGAAGAUGACUGGGCCUUUGUCUCCGAAGCUUGUGUUGUGGGCUUUGGGUUUACACACCCCCUCAAACUUGGAGCAGGAGGCUUACUGAUCCCAAGUUUGUCGCGCAAGGCAAAGAAAGGUUGUUGCGGAAGCGACUUAGUGAAGAUAUCAGCCAGUUGAAGAACCGCAGGGACCUGACUGACGACGAGAGCACCCAGAGCAACCCUCUCGCGUACAUAGUGAAAGUCUGUGUCAAAAUGCUUGCUUCUGUUGUGAAGAGCUGGAUUAGCAGUCAAGUAGACAGCAGAGAGGUUAUCACAAAACAACUCAGGUGUAUCAGGAAGAGAGAUCCCCAUCUCACCAAGUAAAGACGCUAUCCACUUGAUUUCGGUCGCUGUGAGGGACAGAGUGCGGUACUCUGCUUCUGUUGACGAUCUUGACACAGUUGGGUGCCUCUUUGCAGACCACGAGAUUAUGUUGGAGCCGAGGAACGUACAGAGACCACCUGUGAACCGGCGAGUGUCUUUGCAACCAGCCCAGUCACUGUCACUGAAGCCAUACAGAAGGAAGCCAGUUUGUGCGUUGAUAUUCAGACCAAGGCGGCAUGUCCCUUUGAGGUAACGCAGUAUUCUCUUUAGGUUGGAGAAAUCAGCAACUGUUGGAGAGUGCAUCUUCUGGCACACGUAGUUUACUGCAAACUGAAUAUCUGGCCUUGUCAGAGUUAGAUACUGGAGCUUACCCGCUAAACUUUGAAAAUAUGUCGGCUCAGAGAACAGCUUGUCGUUGCCAGGUACCUUGUCUAACUGUAUUGGUAACGGAGUUGGCAUUGGAGCACAAUCUGACAUUCCUGCAGCCUCUAGGAGAUCAAGUGUAUAUCUUUCUUGACAAAGGAACAAGCCAUCAGUGUGUGCUUGGACUUGUAUGCCAAGGAAGUAAUGCACUGAGCCCAUGUCUUUCAUUCGGAAAGUAGUAUUCAGCGUUACCAUUAGCUUCUCAAUCAACUUCUCAUUGUUUCCUGUCAGUAGCAUAUCAUCCACGUAGAGAAGGAGGUAGAUAACAUCGUCUCCAUGGAGAUACACGAACAGAGAAGGAUCGCCAUGAGUGCAUUUAAACCCAAACUCCAGUAAGAAGGUACUGAACUUAUCAAGCCAAGCACGUGGAGACUGGCGAAGUCCGUAGAUAGCUUUGCGUAGCUUGCAAAGGUGAUGAGGCUUUUCUUUAUCUUCUAGCCCCGGAGGCUGCUUCAUAUACACAGUCUCCUUGAGAUCCCCGUGGAGAAAGGCAUUUUCUACAACCAGUUGUUUGAUUUUCCAACCCUUAACUAUCGCAAUGUGUAGCACUGAGCGUAUUGUUGCUGUACGUACCACCGGGCUGUAGGUCUCAACAAAGUCAAUACCCUCAGAUUGCUCGUUUCCUCGAGCUACUAGUCUUGAUUUGCGCUUGUUUAAGGUUCCAUCUGCGUUUAGCUUCGACUUAUGUACCCAUCCACUGCUGAUUGGUUGAAUGGUGGGAUCAGGUGGGACUAGAUCCCACGUAUGAGUGAUGUCCAUAUUAUUUUUCUCAUGCUGCAUUGCAUUGGUCCAGUUUGGGUCCUUCAGAGCUGCAGCGAGAGUCUUCGGUUCAGGGUAGAGAGAUUUUACAGUGACCAACGCAUACUUUGGGUGAGGUUUCCUGAUCCCAUCUUUGGCUCGAGUGAUCAUUUGAUGAACUGGUGCAGGUUGCACAACUUGUUGUUGAACUGGAGACACAAGAGGCGAAGGCAGAGGAGGGAAAUCAUCAUCAGAAAAGAUAGAUGCUGCAGAUGCAGGGGAAACAGGAGGUGGGGCUUGAGUCUUCCUUGGGGGAGGGAUAAACUCUUCAGCAACCGGUUGAUCAACCACCUGUUCCUUAGCUGUAACAUGUUCAGAACGCCAACUUGAGAGAAGAGGAGUGUCCAGUGAUGAAAGGAACGACUGAAACUCCUUUUCAUAUGGAAACUUGUUUUCUUCAAACAGAACAUGCCGACUGAUAUAGACUCUAGCAGACGGUGGAUGUAAGCAUCUGUAUCCCUUAUGCUUCUCACUGUAACCAAGAAAGACACAGUGUAGACUUUUCGGAUCAAACUUAUUCUUGCCAUAAGGCCUGAGGAACGGAUAGCAGCUUGUUCCAAACACACGCAGAGAGGAAUAAACCGGAGGUUUGCCAACAAGCAUUUCAUAGGGGCUUUUCUUUUCAGGUAACACUGAAGAUGGCAUCAAAUUGCCGAGAUAUGUAGCAGUGAGAAAAGCUUCGACCCAUAGCUGGUGAGGAACCUUACUUUGAAACAUAAGUGAUAGUCCCAGCUCAGUAACAUAACGGUGCUUCCUCUCAGCGAGACCGUUUUGUUGUGGGGUAUGGGGACAAGAAAGAUGUUGUUUGAUCCCGCAAGACGCAAAAUGAUUGAGCAGUUGUUUGCUAAUAAACUCUCCACCACCAUCACUUUGAAACACUUGUAUUUUGCUGUCUAGUUGUCUUUCUACUAGGUUCUGGAAGCUCAAGAAUGCAGUAAAGAAGUCUGAUUUCAUUCUCAAAGGGUACAUCCAAGUAUAUCUUGAGAAAUGAUCUACAAAAUCUGCAUAAAACCGAAACCCUUGUGUAGACACAACUGGAGAAGGCCCCCAGAGGUCACAAUGCACUCUCUCUAAGGGACGGGAAGCUACAAACUCAGAACUAGAAAACGGUAAACGACUAGACUUGCCCAGUUGACACGCCUCACAGAGCUGACGACUGAGAUUAUUGAUGAUGAUGGCUUUAUUUGAUGCAAGACGCUGGAGAACUUCAUGGUAAGGGUGCCUAGCCUCAUGUGCCACACAUUACCGCUUGCAGCCUGCUGUCUGUGAGAAUAGAAGGCCGUGAACUUCAGGUUCUCCAAGACGUACAGAUCUUUCUGUCUAAAUCCUUUGGUUAGUAUCUGCCUUGUCUGUUUGUCCUUCACAAUAACACUAUCAGCAUCGAACUCAAUUGAACAGGGAUAAUCAGCCGUAAGUUUUGAGACAAACAGAAGUGAUUUAGUCAUUGCAGGACAGAUAAGAACAUCUUUAAGGGGAAGAUUACCUUGAAGACUAGGCAACAUCGCAGUACCAACGUGUGUUAUAGGCACACACUCACCGUUACCAACCAACACAGUGUCAUCUCCAGUAUAUGCCUGUGAGGACUGAAGCUGAGAGACGUUAUUGGUGAUGUGAGCAGUUGCUCCAGAGUCAGCGUACCAUUCCUGACCAGAGUCGUAGCGGGUAUCUUGGGCACGCAUAGCAGCCAAAGCGGUGUGGUACUCCUCUGCUUGGUAAGAGUGAUCGAAGCGUUUGUAACACUUGUAGGCUGGAUGGCCAAACUUGUUACAGAUCUGACAGGUUGGACGGUUAUCAAGCGCAGAAGAGGAACCCCGUCCAGAAGACUGACUGAUCUGUUGAUGAAAGCCACGACCUUGGGUGGAGUAGUUCCCUCUGCCACGAGAACCACCAUGACCUCUACCGCGAGAAGAGUAUCCCCCUCUGUUAGUGUAGAAAGCUUGGUUGAUAGAGACGUCUGUUGGAGCUUCGUAGGUAGCUAACUUGUCGUGAAAGCUGAUAAGCUUAAAGACAACAUCAUCGUAGUUAGGACCCGGGAAAGCAUCCAUUGAGCUCUCAAUGACAGUAGAGAUAGACUCGUACUCUCUCCCAAGUCCACGCAGAACGCCAUAGAUCUUCUCUUGCUCAGACAACGGCACACCUAACGAGUCCAGCUGGUCGCAAAGCGACUUGAUUUCAGCGAGAUAAACCGAGAGAGUCCGAGAACCCUUCUUUGUUGUCUGGAUUCAACUCUGGAGGUCGAGCUUUCUUGUUGGAGAAACGCGGUUGUAUUUCUGUGCGAGGUAGUACCACAGCUCUUGAGAAGAACGGAGACCGUAAACACUACUGAUGACGGUUUCAGACAAGGAUCCGACCAACCAAGCCAUGAUACGUUGAUCAGUACGGACCCAUUGAGCGUACUCAGGAUUUGCGGUCUCUGUAGUUUGUUCGCCAUUCAAGGUGGUGAGAAUCGGAGGUGGGCGAGGAGUGCUACCGUUCACAUGACCGAGAAGAGACUGACUGUUGAGAAAUUGCUCGAACUGAAAUUUCCAGGAAAGAUAGUUUGAGUCAUUGAGUUUCAGAGUGACACACUGAGUGAUUGUCAAAGGAGAGGUAUAAGGAUCACCAUCCAUGGCUCUGAUACCAUGAAAGCUUGGUGAGAAAUGGGGUUUCUUUGUGAAGAAGAUAACUUUCUUAUUAGGGUUUUCAACUUAGGUUCAUCGAUUACAAUGGAGUACAUUAUAUAGGGAAAGCAUGUACUCAUGUAGAGACAAAGGAGAGCACAGCUCAGAAUGUGACAGCACACAAUCCUAAGGUUUCAAAACGGUUUGAUAGCUGUAUUUCCUUAGCUGUAUGUCCUGUACGAAGACUACCUUUAGGCGUCACAUGAUCUGUGCUUUUGUUACCGUUGAAGAGUGAUGAAGAUGACUGGGCCUUUGUCUCCAAAGCUUGUGUUGUGGGCUUUGGGUUUACAUUACCCUGGCCCUCUUCAACGGGGAGAUGCCAGCCGUAUUCCAAGAAAAAGAUGUCGAUUCAGUGACACAUUCCACAAUGAACUCUUUAUGAGGAUCGUUAAGUUCGGCCUUAUAAAUCCAAGAUCUUAUAAACUCGCAAUAUGGCUCACAUGUUUUCAGGAAAAAAAACUUAAGCAUAGCACUAUGAGCAGGAUCAGCAACCUACAACAGAAAUUGUCGGGAAAAGUCAUCAGAAAGAAAUCAAAAUUUACAAGUUCUUUGUGUA